rnacentral:lncRNA from 1 species
CUUUUCUUUCGUACUGAUUGAGGAAGUCAUACAUCUCUUGUGCUCAGCUGCUAGGAUAUGUUGCUUUGUAUCUGACAGUAUUUAUAGUGAGUGAACAAUUGUAUCUUAUACAAAAAGCUUCAAAGGAUUUUCGUUUUCUCAUUUAAUAAAUGUCCACUGUUCAGAAAUUGGUCAUAAAACUUUUUUAUUCUCACAUUUGGGGUUUUAAUUCUGUGAAAAUUACGAAAUUACCAAUUUGCUUUAUCAAUCACCGCAGAAUUUGAAGGUUGAAUUUAGUAGUCUUCUGACCAUGUUGCUGCCAUCCAUCACUCACAAAUCAACUCAUCAUGACCUGUAACCAGGAACGAAGAGUGCAAACUUGCCAACUAGCAAUGAAUUAAACUCAGUUGAACUCUGAUGCAGAAAAGGUAAACGUUCUGUUUGCCUACAGGGGAAAUCUAUACAGCUGACUCUUGAACAACAUGGGUUGGAACUGCACGUGUCCAUUUACAUGCAGAUUUUUAAAGAUAAAUACAGUAUGGUACUGUAAAUGUAUUAUCUCUUCCUUAUGGUUUUCUUCUUCUUUUUUUUUUUUUAAAGAUUUUAUUUGUAAGUAACCUCUACCCCCAAUGUGGGGCUUGAAUUCACAACCCUGAGGUCAAGAGUCCCACGCUCUUCCGACUGAGCCAGCCAGGCGCCCCCUUAUGGUGUUCUUAAUAAUAUUUUUUCUCUAGUUUAUUUUCUUGUAAGAUUAUAGUAUAUAGAAUACAUACCAUAAGAAUAGGUGCUUAUGUACCAUAUAUGAUAGCCAUAAGGCUUCCGGUCAACAGUAGGCUAUUAGCCAUUAAGGUAUUGAGGAUUCAAAAGUUAUGUACAGAUUUUCAACCGCAGGGUCAGCGCCACUCACCCCUGGAUUGUUCAAGAGUCAGCUGUGUUUGUAAGACAUUGUUUUCUUGAGAAAGCCAGAGUUGAUCUUAUGUAAGGUUUUGAGAAGCUUGACAUUCGGGGAUCGGUGGGUUUUCAGAAGUGGAGUGUGUACAGAUUGAAAGAUUUUCAGCUGUGUUAGUGUGUUCACUGGAGAAAGGCUGCUGUCCACCAGCUAACCAUGACCUUCAGGAGCUUGGCUGCUGGAGUGGGGUAUUUUUUUGAAUGGCUGUUGUCUCGAAGCGUGCAUUGUUGCAGCUUGCUGACAUUCAGGACUGGAGGUUUAUCACCGAAUGUCUUUCAGAAGCUUGGGCUGUUACUGAUUUGCUCGCUUUUAGACACUUGGAGUAAGGCUGUUAACUGGCUGCUUUCCAGAAACAGGCCACAGGAGGGAGGCUACAACUGUUUGGCUGAUUUUCAGAGCAUGUGCACUCAUACGAAGUUAACUCGAAUUAACAAUGCUUACUUGUUCACAGCUUGGGAAUUUGGUCGAAGAAUAGUCUUUUCUUGAGUAUGAAAAAGAAAUACUUUUCAUUCUCAGUUCCUCUCUUUGAUCUCCCUGAAGCCAAACCUGCAGGAGAGGCCAUAAGAGAUGGUUGAGAUGUUUGUGGAGUAUGGUUUGCAGCUGGUAUUGCCAUGUAAGUGAUGUAAGUACCAUUUACUGGGGCAGAAAGAUAGCUCUAGCUGCUGAUUUUUGUAAUUUCUUUUAAAAAGCUGAAUACAGGGCACUUAAGGGGUCAUGACAAAGUCAGUACAGGGCACAGUACAACACAAAUACAGGGCAUGUCCUGUAUAUACAGGAUACUGGCAACCCCACCUAAAUGUAAUAUUCUAGUUAUAACAAAAUAUAACACAAAAGACUUGCUCUCCAAAUUUAAAAAAAAAAUUUAAAAAUAUCAUCUCAAUGGUCUGGGUUCCUUUAAAAACAUAAAUUAUAUUGAGCUGAUGUCUUCUUUUUUUUCUCUUUCUCCUUGAAUCUCCCCAAACAAUAUAGAGAUAUUUAAGAUCUAUUCUGUAAAAGGAGGCACUUAGUUUCUCUUCUGAUGACAAUGGUAAUAAUUUCCCACUAAAAGAUUCUUAACAUGAGGUCUGACUUUGCACUUAACCCUUCUGCUUUGUUUACCUCUUUGCCUUUUUCAAAACUAUGAUUCCAUCGUCUCUAUUAGAUCAAUAAAUACCACCAGGAAUAUGAUUAAUGGGUAGUGCUGCAUUUUAAAAACAACAAGUCAAGAAUUUCAUAUUUCUUUUUCUUUUUUAAAAAAAAGUUUUUAAUGUUUGUUUAUUUUUGAGAGAAAGAGAGACAGAGCAUGAGCGGGGCAGGGGCAGAGAGAGAGGGAGACACAGAAUCUGAAGCAGGCUCCAGGCUCUGAGCUGUCAGCCCAGACCCCAGUACGGGGCUCAAACCCACAAACUAUGAGAUCAUGACCCCAGGCCAAAGUCGGACACCUGACUUACUGAGCCAUCCAGGUGCCCCAUUUCAUAUUUCUUUAGAUGUUUCUUAAAACAGUUUAUGCAGAUCGUAAAGCAAAAGCAUUUUUACAUAGGCUUCAAGAAAUCUCUCAUAGAUCUCUUAAUAGAGAUCAAAUCAUAACAAUGUGGAUAUAAAUGUGCUUCAUUUUAUGCUGUAUGUAAAUAAUCUAAAAUAAGAGUUGUGGUUUAAUGGAAAUCUAUUAUAAGUAAUUUUGUGAGACCCAACUGUAAUUCCAGGAACCUGCAAGCCCAUUCAGCAGAUUCAAUGGAGCAAAGGGGGGUCAUAGUUACUAGGGGAUCCUGGGGUGCCUGGGUGGCUCAGUCGGUUACGCGUCCAACUUCAGCUCAGGUCAUGGUCUCUCAGCUUGUGAGUUUGAGCCUCGCCUUGGGCUUUGUGCGGACAGCUUAGAGCCUGGAGCCUGCUUCGGAUUUUGGGUCUCUUUCUCUUUUUGUCCCUCCCCCACUCAUGCUCUCUCUCUCUCUCUCUCUCUCUCAAAAAUAAACAUUAAAAAAAAUUUAUUUUUAAUUAGGGAAUCCUGUGCAAAGCAGCUGAGCAGGUUGGCCCUUCCCCCUUUUCCCCACUUAAUAUAAAGCAGAGGGAGCAGCUCUUGACCCCCACAGUGGACCCUAGGUCUGAAACAGCAGAGCAGUGCCCUGGAGAGCUGAUGACUCUUGGGAGGGGUAGGAAGGACUCUCACACAGAAGACACUGUUGGAACACCUCCUCCAGCUACAUGUACUGCCCCACCCCACGAUCUCUGGAGACAAGAUGUAGGAAACAGAAGCUGACUCCACAGACAUGUAUACACAGAACCACAGAUACAAAGAUAAGCACACAACCAAGAGUCACCAUUGGAGUAAUACUGGGAAAGAAAAGCAUCAACCCCAACAACGAAUCAACACUUGAAGAAAAGACUCCAAGAUAGUUCUUUUUUCAAGUUUAUUUAAUUUAUUUUGAGAGAGAGAGAACAGGGGAGGCACAGAGAGAGAGGGAGAGAGAGAAUCCCAAGCAGGCCCCUCCCUGUCAGUCCAGAGCCCGAUGAGGGGUUCGAACUCAUGAGUUGUGAGAUCAUGACCUGAGCCCAAACCAAGAUGCAGAUAGAUGUUUAACCGACUGAGCCACCCAUGCACCCUCAGGUCUAAUGAAUAUCUUUGGGUAAUAAAAGAGGAAUACAGGUUUAUAUUCAUAUGUAACAACAUACGCAAUUAUGAAAACAAUUCUUAGAAAUCAAGAACAUAAUCAUAGAACCUUUAAAACUUCAAUAAGUGAGUUUUAUAGAAGAAUGGGCAGAGUUGAAGAUUAACUCUGGGUAAGAAGAUCUAGAUGAAGAAUUUGCUUAUAACCUAGCACAGUCCAGAAGUUCUGAUGUCUACCUCAGAGGAGAGAAGAUGGGAGGGAAAGAAGAGAGAGGGCUGCCAGAGAUAGGAAGUUUCUAAAAAAAUCAAGUCUUCAAAGAAAGAUUUAAGUAAAGAAUUGAUAAAAAAUAAAAUAAAUAAGUAGUCUUUAGUAGAUACUAGCAAAUAUUAACACAUUGUAUAUAUUUAUUCAUAGACUUACCUUUAACACAACCUAUUAUUCUUCUCAGAUAAGUGGAAGAGUCAAAUGACCAGACUGAGGUGGGAAUAAUAUAUAAGAUGAAGCAUUUUGGAGAGUUCUGAGCAGAUUCUGUCAAAUUGUGCCUCUAGGACUUGUUGAGAGAUAUUGAAGUCUAAAUAGAUGCUGGGGAUGAAUGCUUUUUUUGAAUGGGGAAAAUACAUGGGUCAGAUGAAAUGAGAAGUGUGUGUUAUAUGAGAACAGAUUCCAGACCCUUGAGUGCUCACAGAUGAAACAGUUAAUUCCUAAGCUUCCUCCUUUCCUGUUGAGUAUCUCAUCCUAUACUUCUGUUUGAUGAGUUCUAGCAUAUUCUUCUCCUUUCUUUUUUCUUUUUCCUUUCUUUUCUCUUCCUUUCUUUUCUCUUUCUUUCUUUCUUUCUUUCUUCUUUCUUUUGAAAGAGAGAGUGAGAGAGCACAUGCUAGCAGGGGGAGAGAAGAAGGAGAGGAAGACAGAGAAUCUUAAGCAAGUUCCAUGCCCAGGGGAGCUUGACACAAGGUUUGAUGCAGGGCUCGAUCUCACAAACCGUGAGAUCAUGACCUGAGCUGAAAUCAACAGUUGGACGCCUAACCAACUGAGCUACCCAUUUGUCCCUAUUCUUCUCCUUUCUAAUGUGUUUUCUCUUUCUUCAGGAUUCUCUUGCCCACCUUCAUGACUGGAGGAUUUUAUUCCAAUUUUAUAGCCUAAUAGAACUUCCCUCCACUGUGACAUUCUCAUUUCUUCUACAGUGUCACCUUUCUUACCAAUGUUUUUUUUUUUUUUUUUUCAACGUUUAUUUAUUUUUUUGGGACAGAGAGAGACAGAGCAUGAACGGGGGAGGGGCAGAGAGAGAGGGAGACACAGAAUCGGAAACAGGCUCCAGGCUCCGAGCAGUCAGCACAGAGCCCGACGCGGGGCUCGAACUCACGGACCGCAAGAUCGUGACCUGGCUGAAGUCGGACGCUUAACCGACUGCGCCACCCAGGCGCCCCUCUUACCAAUGUUUUGAUUAUCAUUAUUUUUUAAUGUUUAUUUAUACUUGAGAGAGAGAAAGGGAGGGGCAGAGAGAGAGAGUUGGACAGAGGGUCUGAAGUGGGCUCUGUGCAGGGCUCGAACUUAGAAACUAGGAGAUCAUGACCUGAGCCUAAAUCAGAUGCUCAACCAACUAACCCACUAAGGUGCCCCCCCCCCCGUUAUUUUUAAUAUAUUAAAACUUUUUAGAUAUCUGAUUAGGUAAAGCCACCAGGAAAAUAUGAUUUUGAUAAACAUUUUAAUAUCUUGAGUUUAGUUCAUUGUAGGUGAUAGGGGUUUAACAGAAUGUGCUUCAGAAACUCAAAGCUUAAUUUAUAAAAGAUUAAGAAAAUAAAUUAUCAGAAAUGCUGCAAGCCUUAUACAUGUUGUCACUCAACACCUCUCAAGUGACAAUAUAAGUUAACAGGCAUUGUCCUAUAUUAUUGGUGACACAUUCACCUUUAUUGGAUAAAAUGGUCAGAUAAAACCAGGCCCAGGUGCUUCUUGGGGGAAAAUAUGUAAGGCUUUAUUUUUGUUUUGUAAUAAAUAAGCAAAUGAGUAAGAGAAAAAAGUUGAAGAAUCCAAUUUUGAAAAAUCUGAUAAAGAGGAAAGGAAAAAGUAUAGAAAUAAAGUAUGGGACUUUACAUAUAUAUACUAAAUAUUAAGGAUCUUUUAUGUAUUAGGAGAGUAUUACAUAUAAUUUUAUGACAUUAAUACUUUAAAUGUAGUGUUUCUCUACAGAAAACAGUAGAAAGGGUAGAGAAAUAGAAAAUCUGAAUACACUAGUAUUUACAGGAAAAAUAGCAAAAAACAUUGCUAGGGCCAAACAUUUAUCCACAAAAGUGUCACCAAGCCACAUUAUUCUGUGGCCAGAUUAUCCUAAACCUUCAAGGAACAGGUAAUUCAGGUUAUAGAAAGUGAUCCAGACAAAGGUGAAAAGUUCCCUACUUCAUUCUGUUAGGCUGGAAUACCACCACCACCACCAAAGAAAAACAAACAAAACUGUAGGCCAGCCUCAGUUGGGUACCCAGCUGUAAAAAGCACAAAUGAAAUAUUAGCAAAUGAAAUGCAUCAUUGUAUUAGCAAGUACAGUUUAUCUCAGGAAUGCAAGGAUGAGCCCCUAUUAGAAGACAUAUUACUGUUAUUUACAACAGUAAGAGAUCAUAGAGAAUUAAUUUUAUGAUCUUGAGGUGAGAAAGACAUCACUUGAGCGAGAUUUAAGACAGGCCAUUUUGGCACAUGCAUGGCGUAAGAGGUAUUCACUUGUUCUUUCAAAUGGAUUCCGUUUUUUCCGUUUUCGUUUUUUUGUUUUUAUUGUGGUUCUUGUUUUGGGGGCAAUUUGGCUGAAUCUAUCAACACAUUAAAUAUGCAUACCUUUUGAGUCACCAACUGUACUAAUAGGAAUCUAUCCUAAAGAGAUUCUAAUUGUACGAAUUCUCAAAGGUGUAUAUAGUUCAGUGAGAUAACAGCUUGAAAAUUUGGACAUUUUGAUUCCAUUUUUGCAAUAUCCAUCCCAUCUCUCUACUGUUGAAAGCAGCAGAGCAAUUUGGGGAACUGACCCCAAGACAAACAGGGUGUCUGAAUGGUCUAAGAGUAAUCCCAACCCCAUUGCCAUUGAUUGGUUCAGAAAUGGGCAUGUGGCCCAAAUUUAGCCAAUCAGAUGUGAGUUACCUUUAGCGAAGACUUCUGGGAACGUUUUUUUCUACCCUUGAGAACUGAGGGCGCCAAAUCUCUUUGUCCAUUUGGCUUUACAAAUAAAAAAGCAUGCAGGGGUGCCUGGGUGGUUCAGUUGGUUAAGCGUCUGACUUGAGCUCAGGUCGUCUCUGCCCCUCCCUCUGCCUCCCUGUCUCUGCCUCUCCCCCACUAGCGCUCGCUCUCUCUCUCUCUCUCUUUCUCUCAAAAAUAAGUAAACAUUAAAAAAUUCAAAAAAAAAAAAAAAAGCGUGCAGUUCUUUCAGUCAUUUUAUGUGCAGAGGUGAGCCAGCCUUGGGAUGGAAUGGAUUCUGAGAAUGGCAGGGAAGAAGGAUGGAAAGCACCUGGCUAAAUGGUGGCUUUGUUGAGCCCAGACAUGAAUAUAUCAGCAACAAAGCCUCUUUAUCUCUCAAGUUCUAGUUCUGUGAGCUAAAAAUUUCUUAAUGGUUCAAGCAGAUUGAAUCAGAGUUUCUAUUACUUUCAGCCAAACGGGUCCUUCAUACACGGCAGCACUGCUAGCAAUAGCAGAAAACAGCCAACCAAUCUAAAUGCUUCUAAGCAAGGGAGUGGUUAAAUAAAUUACAGUACUUUGCUUAUCACGAAUAUUACGUAGUCACUAAAAUAAGGUAAAUCUGUGUGCUGACAGCUCAGAGCCUGGAGCCUGCUUCAGAUUCUGUGUCUCUCUCUCUGCCCCUCCCCUGCUCAGGCUCUCACUCUGUCUGAAAAAAAUUAAAAAAAAUUUUUUUUAUGAAAAAAGAAAAAAGAAAAAAAAAGAAAAGGUUCCGGAGCAAGCUGUAUGUAUCUAGCUGAUUUUAGGAAUAAAUGAAUUUCAGCUUCCCCUGAUACUAAUGGGUAUUAUUGCUAAUCUCAUAGCUAAUUAUGUAAGAACUAGCACUUCAGCUUCAGUGACUUUUUUUGUCCUAUUCAGGAUACCAUGGUACUGACUGCAGCCUUUAGGACAUCAUAGUUGCUUUGUUAUUUUGUAGUAGUUUACUUACAUAUUUGCUUCUUGCAUAUAUCUUAUAUAAAUAAAUUCCUUGCAAUAAAUCUCAUAUAUAUGAUCUGUACUCUCCUAUUGAUUCUAUUCUCUGGUAGAAACAUGACUAAUACACAUGUCCAUGAUGUGAUGGGCCCUAAAUAGUCAAUGAUAAACAAAACAAAGAUGCAAUUUACAGUUUAAUAUUGGGAGAAAUAGUAAGUAGGUAAGUAUGUAUUUUCAAGUUGUUGUAUGCGCCAAGAAGGAAGACAAAUAGGUCAUUGAAUGGAAAUUAUUUUUCCCAAUUUAAACCAGGUAGUCAGGGAUGGCCUCUCUAGGGAGAUGAUGUAUCAGGUGAAGUGUGAGAUGGCAUCAGCCUUGAAACAUGCAAAGAGGGUCCUAGGUAGCGGGAACGGUAUGUGCAAAGGCCCUGGGAUCAGGUGAGUCCUUGACCUCUUCCUGGAAUUACCAGAUGACUGAAAAGUAAUGUUUCUGACUUCUCUCUUGAAACUCUGGUACUCUACCAAUCAUCUAUUUGGCAUACCUGCAUAUAUUUGUAUAACUAGUUUUUUGUCUCUCUCCCCUCACUAAAUGAAAGUUCCAUAAAGGCAGAAGUUCUGUCUGUUUUGUUUCCCAGGUCUGCUUUCAACUAUCUUGAAAAGUUCCUGGUACUUAGCAGGUACUCAUAAAUAUUAAAUGAAUGAAUACUUGAAUGCAUGAAUGCAUGAAUGCUUGAAUGAAUGAAUGAAUGAAUGAAUGAAUGAAUGAAUGAAUAGUUACGACAGUUAGGAACAGUUGCAAGAGUCCAGGCAAAAGGUGGUGAUCGUUUGGUUAAAGUGGAAGUGAUGAGGUGAGAGAAGGGUCACGGGUUUGAGAUACUUCUGGAGUUAGUCAGUAGCACUGGUUGACAGAUGAGAAGUGUGAUGUAAAAAAGGAAGAAGUCCAGUGGCUCACAGUUUUCCUGCCUAAAAAACAAGGUAGAUCGUGAUACCAGUGGCAGAAAUGGAAGAGUCUACAGGGGAAACAUUUUGGUAUUCCCAAAACCCAGCCUACAAGCUUUAUGACUAUUUGAUAAGUGAAUGGAUGAAAUGGUGAAUUUAAUUUCCAUCACUGUUUUUAGCCAAAGGCAGCUGCCUUAAUGUUCACUGAUUUUCAAGUCCUUAUUUUACGUUUCCUGUUUUUUAAUGUGUUUUUUUUUGUUUGUUUUAAUGAUGUUUUAAUGAUGUCUUUAGCUCCUUCGAGGAAAAAAAUGUGUUUUUUUCCUUCAUGGUAUAAAGUAAAUAUCUUAAUAGUUUGAGGAACUGUGUUUGGAUGAGCUUAUGAAGGACUUCAGACUAUAGUGAAAUCUAAUGAACAGGAAAAUUCCACAUGCUACGUGCUACCAAAAAUACACAUUCUUGGUGCAAUAGCUACAGAAUGGGCCCAUGACUUUCACACACACACACACACACACACACACACACACACACACACACACGGUCUCCCUUGGUCUCUUCCUGCUUUCAGGUCAGAUAUGUGCUUUCACUUAAAAUUUUAAAAUUUCAUCCUGUUUUAGUUUUGCAAAAUAUCCAAGUUAUUACUUUUUUUUUCCUCUAGAACAAUUUUCCUCAAACUAUCCACGAUGGAUUAGUAUUAGCUCAGAGGUAGAGGAACUGGUGUGGAGACUUGUUAAAAAGUGCACAGUCCUAGGUCUUAGCGGAAACUUAAUACAUCAGCAAUUUUGGGUAUGGAAACCCAGGACCAGCAUUUUAAAUAGGCCUGCAUGAUUCUCGAGCACGUGCCCUAAAAGUUGAAGACUACUACAGAAAUAUGAAAACAUAGAUUUUUAGAAUAAAAACUCAAAGUGUAGUUUGAUUUCAUUUUCUUGGAGUUUUUUUGUUUUUGUUUUUGUUUUUUUUUAAGAGAGAGAGCACAAGUGGAGGAGAGGGGCAGAGAGAGAGAAAAUCCCAAGCAGGCUCUGUGCUGAACUUGAUCAGCUCGGGACUCCAUCCCACAACCCUGGGAUCAUGACCGAGCUGAAAUCAACAGUCGGACGCUCAACCAACUAAGCCACCCAGGAGCCUCUCCUUGUUUGUUUCUUAAUACAAAUUUAUGGCUCUUAAAUGUUUAUUUAUUUUUGACAGAGAGAGAGAGAGAGAGAGAGAGAGAGGCAGAGCAUGAGCGGGGGAGGGGCAGAGAGAGAGGGAGACACAGAAUGGGAAGCAGGCUCCAGGCUGCCAGCUGUCAGCACAGAGCCGGACGUGGGGCCAAACUCACAGACCACGAGAUCAUGACCUGAGGCGAGUCUGACGCUCAACCAACUGAGCCACCCAGGUGCCCGGAUGGCUCUUAAAACUAGCGGUUCUCAAAGUAUGGUGCAAGGGACCCCCAGGGUCUCCCAAGACUUUGCAUGCAGUCCACAAAUCAAAACUACUUUUGUUAUAAUACUAAGAUGUUAUUACUCAUUCUCUUAUGGAUGUGCACUGCAGUUCCACAGAAGUUAAAUGAUGAAUGGUAUCACAACAAACUGAAUACAGAAGCAGAUAGGAGGAUCCAGCUUGCUUCUAUUAAGCUAGACAUUAAAGAGAUUUUCAAAAUGUAAAACAAUGCCACUCUCCUCAUUAUCUUUUUUGUUUUGAAAAAUGCAGUUACUUCUCAUAAAUUUGUUAUUUAGGCUAACACGUAAUGCAUCAUUGCAUUGUUAUUUUAAAAUAAAUGAAUAAAUGUUUUUUAAGUUACAGUUUUAAUUUCUAACACACCAAAUAUGAAUAGAUAUAAUACACACGCAAAAGCUGUUUGGGAUGUUCAGUAUUUUUUUAAGACGGUUUUCCUGAGCCAAAAAAUUUUAGAAGUCUUGUCCCAGAUUUAUUUUCCUCUAUAAAAGAAUCUUAGGGGAUCUCGGGGCGCCUGGGUGGCUCAGUUGGUUAAGCGUCUGACUUCAGCUCAGGUCAUGAUCUCGUGUUCCGUGAGUUAGAACCCCAUGUAGCGCUCUGUGCUGACAGCUCAGAGCCUGGAUCCUGCUUUGGAUUCUGUGUGUUCCUCUCUCUCUGCCUCUCCCCCACUCAUGCCCCCGUUUCUUUCUCUCUCAAAAGUAAAUGAACGUUAAAAAAAUGUUUUUUAAGAAUCUUUGGGGAUCUCAGUGGGAACUCUUUUCUGGUUCCUGAUCUGUGGUGCAUUCCGAAUCCAUGUGAUUUAUAACCAACCAACUGCUUGCCCAGGUGGACAAAUAUAUGGUGAAGCUCUUUGUCUAUUCAAGAGCAAACAGUGAUGGUUUCCAUGAAGACUAAAUAAAAAACUAGAAAAGCAAACUCUCAGAAUUCCAUUCAAAUAGCUGAGUCUAGUCAACACUGAAAGAGGAACAGAUGGGGCAUUAUUAAAACAAAGAUGUUUUAGGCAUGCAUAAUAUGACACAAUAAAAACAGCAUUGUCCUUGAAGCAGGCCUUCUUGGAGUUAAGAUUUCUAUUUCUUGCUCUCUGUUUGGUCUUGGGCAAGUCAAACCUCUGGGCUCUCAUCUCCUCAUCUAAAAUUCAUGUGUUCAUUCAUUUAUUCACACAUUUAUUAUUUUUUCUUUUUUUAUUCAACAAAUACUGACUAAAUAUCUCCUUGGAUCCAGACCUAUUAAGUACUGGAGAUACAGCACUGAAUAAUUUUAUUUCUGACUGUGAGGUUUUCACCAUAUAUGAGCAUAGAACAUCAAUGUAUUUAAAUUAUUUAAGUUACUCUGACUUAAAAUAGCUCCGCAUGUCCACAACUGUUUAAGUCUUUUGUUUGUUUGUUUUUACAUUUAUUUAUUUUUGAGAGACAGAGAGAGACAGCACAAGUGGGGGAGGGGCAGAGAGAGAGGGAGAGAGAGAGAGACAGAGAGAAAGAGAGAGAGAGACAGAGAAAGACAGAGAGAGAGAGAGAGAGAGAGAGAGAGAGAGAGAGAAUCUCAAGCAGCCUCCAGGCUCUGAGCUGUCAGCACAGAGCUCUAUGUGGGGCUCAAACUCAUAAACCAUGAGAUCAUGACCUGAACUGAAGUCUGACGCUUAACCGAAUGAGCCACCCUGGCGCCCCUCACAACUGUUUGUCUGUAUCCCACUAAGUAUCUCUUCAUAGCCCUUAUCAUCACAUGACGUUUUAUAUGUUUCUGUAUUUAUUUUGGGGGGAGGAUACUUAUUAUCUAUCUUCCUCAUCAAACCUUGAGUUCCAGGGAUGCAGGGACUUUAUCUUGUUGACCAAUGUGUUUCCUGGCAUAUGGGUGACAUUCAGUAACUAUUUGUUGAAUGAGUGAAAAAAAAAAGGAGGGGGGAGGGAGAAGAGGGUAAGUACAUAUAUGGGGGGAAGAAAGAAGAAAGAGAAAGAAAGAGAAUGCAGAGGAAAACAAAUCAAUAUAUUUAUUGAAAAAAGAAGAAUGAGUUGCUGUUAGGUGAAGUUUUGGGGAGACAGAAAGUAUUCUAGGCGGCGGGAAGAGCAUCUACAAAGACAUAAAAUAUGAAAUAACAAAGAAAUGUGAGUUGUUCAAUAAAGACAGCCGAAGGGGUGCCUGGGUGGUUCAGUCAGUUGAGCGUCUGACUUCAGCUCAGGUCAUAAUCUCGUGGUUCUUGAGUUCGAGCCCCGCGUCAGGCUCUGUGCUGACGCUUCAGAUUCUGUGUCUCCCUCUCUCUCUACCCCUCCCCUGCUCACACUCUGUCUCUCUCUCUCUAAAAAAUAAACAUUAAAAAAAUAAUAAAGACAGCUGAAAUGUGUGAUCUGUAGGCAAGGGGAGGCAUGGAAGCGAUGGGAAGUUCUAAUACUCUCUGAAUCUAUCAAAGAAUGAGUGGCUUUCUGUCACCCUUCUACAUGACUACCUAUACGAUGUGGAUCUUGACUGAUAGAUACGGUUUUUGUAUGGGAAGGUUGUUAGCUGUUGAAAGGAAAAAACUCCAUUGUUUCCCUUCUCCACACUCAAUACUCUCACUACUUCACUUCUAGUCCCCAAAUGUGUGGCGUUUUCUCUCCCACUGACCAAUUCUCCAACACCAGCUGGUGUCCUACAUUCAACUUCCUUCUGACACUAUCUACUUGGAGAGAUCCCACAAAUUAAAGGGACCAGGCCCACAAGACUGCCACCUCACUUCAGACACCAACUGCAAGGCUAAGCUUCUGAUUGGCUGUAAAUUGGAGGGUCCCACGACCUCCUCCUCGGGUGUGGUAAUUUGCUAGAAUGGCUCACAGGACUCAGGAAAACAGUUUACUUACUAGGCUACUGGUUUACUACACAAGGGAUACACCUCAGGAACGGCUGAGUGUAAGAGAUGCAUAGGGCAAGGUCUGUGGAAAUGGGACAGAGAGUUUCCAUGUCCCCUUGAAUCCUACCACCCACCCAGCACCUCCACAUGCUCACCAGCCCAGAAUCUUUCUGAACUCCAAGCUUCAUACUUUAGGGAUUUUUAUGGGGGCUUCCUUAUUUAAGCACCAUUGAUGGAAUCUUUGGCCAUUGGUGACUUAAUCAACCUUCAACCUGUCUCCCUUCCUGGAGGUUGGAGGGCAGGCUGAAAGUUCAACCUCUGUAUUCACACAGUUGGUUUCCCUAGCAACCAACCCUCUCUCUCUCUCUCUUUCUCUCUCUCUCUCAUUGAAGGGCUUUCCAAAAUCCUUUUCAGUAACAUAAACUCAGACACUGUUGAAAGGGGAUCUUUGUGAAUCACAAAAGACACUCCUUUUACCUUUAUGCUCUGGAGCUAUUUCAGGAACCAGUAUAAAAGAACAAAAGAUGCCCUCACUUCUCAGAUUACUUAGGAAAUUACUAGAGUUUUAGGAGCUGUGUGUAGAAGAGGGAGACCAAGUUUAUAUUUCUUAUAAAUCACAAUAUCACAGGCAUCAUCUAACAAUGUUGAUAACAUCAUUAUUAUGAUUAUGGCUAAUGCAUAAUGAGUCCUUACUAAGUGAAAAGCACUUGACCUAUAUUAUCUUCAAACAACUUCAUGAAUCAGAGACUAUUAUGAAUUCCUGGUUUCAUAGAUAAGGACAUUAGUGCAGGGAGGGUCUAUGGGGCCUUCCCAAAAUAAGUGUCCGAGCUGAACUAUGAUGGCAGGUGUCUAAGAAGGCUCUCAAUGAUCUUUACCUUGGGACAUUCCCAACCUUGUGUAGUUUACCCUCAUAUUCAAAUCAGAGCUGAUUCUGGGGCACCUGGGGGGCUCAGCUGGUUAAGCAUCUGACUCUUGAUUUCAACUUAAGUCAUGAUCUCAUGGCCUGGUCAUGAGAUCAAACCCUGAGUCGGGCUCUGCCCUGAGCGAGGAGCCUACUUAAGAUUCUCUCUCUCUUUCCUUCUCCCACUCGCAUUCUCUUGCUCUCUUUCUAAAUAAGUAAAAUAAAAUCAGAGUUGAUCUGAUUACAAUCAAUAGAGCAUGGUACAAGCGAUUGUGUAUGACUUCAGAGGCUAACUGAACUCAAGGGGUUCGUCACCAUCAUAUUGAAAACAAAGAACUUUGUAUUGUUACAAGUAAGGAGACAGCUCUCAAAACACUGCCCAGCCUUGGGGUUUGUACAGGAAGCUUUUAUUCAGUGUAUUAGGGGCAGGGGGCAGGGAGCCUGCAUAGACUCUUUGGUUCAAUUGCAAAUGCCUAGAAGGUCAACAUGUUAGUAUAUACAUACAUCAUGUGUUCAAAAAAUGGCUACAAAGUGCCCAUAGGAGGAGAUCUUAUUGUAAUGAGCUAAAGGUAACUUCAGGACAAAUGAAGGGGACUUCUGUAGAGAUCCUCAAUCCAAUCUGGCUCAAACUGGCUCAUGGAAAGGGCUAAAUGGCGAAAUACCUGAUUGGAUGUCUCCUGCUGAUUCUACAAAACAAAACACAUUCCUUCCCUGCUUUUGCCCCUUGCCCUCCUCCUUUCUGCUGGUAGCUUUCAGCCCUCUUAUUUGAGUAACUUCCCAUUGUGUCCCAGCUACCAAGUACAGCUUCAACCUUGAUCUUUUUUUUUUUUUAAUUAAAAAAAAAUUUUUUUUUCGGUUUAUUUGGAGAGAGAGCAAGAAGGGAAGGGGCAGAGAGAGGAAGAGACAGAAUCCCAAGGAGUCUCUCCACAGUCUCUGCAGAGCUCAGUCAUGGGGCUUGAACUCACAAACCCAUGAGAUCAUGACAUGAGCUGAGAUCAAGAUCAGAAAGCUUAGCCAACUAAGCCACCCAGGCACCCCUCAACAUUGAUCUUUUGAAUUACUCACUUUGGAUGAAACCAGUUGCUAUGCUGUGGUCAAGCAGUUCUGUGAAAAGGAACUGAGAUCUCCCAUGAAGAGCCAGCACCAACCAAACAAACACCUUGGAAGUGGAUUUGCAACCAGGGUCAAGCCUUCAGAUGACGUCAGCCCCAAAUGUGGACAUCUGACAGUAACUUCACGAGAGACCCCAAACCAGAACUGCCCAGCCAAGCCACACCUAAAUUCCUGACCCACAGAAAUACAUGCGAGAAUAAAUGAUUACAGUUGUGUUAAGCCACUAAAUUUUGAAGCAAUUUAAUAUGUAGAAAUAGAUCAUUUAUACAAUUGGGAUCAGAACUCAGAUUUGUCUGACCUCAGAACCAUAUCUCUUACUAUUUUUUCCCCCCUUACUACCUAUGUUAUAAAAUAGCUUAUCUUGCUGAGUGUGACUCAAACAGUAGCCCCAGGAGUAAAGUAUGGAAUCCAGGAGAGUAUUUGAUUCUAAAACCACUCAAUAUGCCCCAGUUAGAAAGCUAACAAGUGUAGCUUCAACCUUCAACUCCAAAUAAAAGGUUGUUUUCCUAAUUUGUCAUUGAAAUUGAUUUUUUUUUUUAAGUUUCAAGGGGCCAUCUUGAGUAUAUACAUUUUUACUGAAGCAGAAGACAAUUUUAAAUGCUUACUUAUACAAUGUCACUUAUUAAAUCUGCUGUGUAUAUUUUAAAUUAAUACUAUGUAGAAUAAUGCACUGGCUUAGAAAUGUUAUUUAACAAAUCAACCAUUUUAUCCAUACGUUCCGUAUGCAUCUUUUACAUCCCUGCUACAAAUACCCAUGGAUCAGCAGCAUUGGCAUGCCCCGAGAACUUGCUAGAAAUGCAAAAUGCCCCAGACUGCCUUGAGUCAAAAUAGGCAUUUAAAAAAUUUUUAUUUAUUUUGAGAGAGAGAGAGAAUGAGAGAGAGUGUACACUUGCAUGUGGGGGAGGGUCGGAGAGAGAGAGAGAAUCCCAAGUAGUCUCUCUGCUGACAAGUGCAGAGCCCGACGUGGGGCUCGAUCUCAUGAACCAUGAGAUCAUGGUCUGAGCUGAAAAUCAAGAGUGGGAUGCUUAACCACCUGAGCCACCCGGGUGCCCCCCGACUACACAUUUUAACAAGAUUCCUCAAGUCGUCAGUGUGCACACUAAAGUUUGAGAUGCACUGAUCUAGAGAACCAUCUUGUCAUCACUUGUGUCAUCUGUUUUCCAGAAUACAUAAUCUUCACUGCCAUGUAAACUGCUUGCAAUAUAACAUGCUUUGAACCUCCGAUGAUGUUAUGGUGGAUACUGCUCAUUGCUCUCCCACCAGCCCUUCCCCUUCCCCCUAACUGUGGAACUCCAGUUGUGUUUGGGUAGACCAAUGGGCUCCGAUAGAAAAAACUCAGCUUCCCGGAUUUCUUUGCAGCUAGACUUGACCACAUAGCACAGUUUAACUUCUGACCCAUGAGAGGGAAGCAGAAAUUAAAUGCUGGCUGGUUCUUUAGGAAAAUUCUUUAUGAAAAGGGAACUCUGUUUGCAUGCCCUUUUUUGACUUUCUCUUCUAGUCCUAACCCUUCCUUGUAUUUCUGCCCGAAAUGUGGAUGAGCACCGGGGGAGGUGGAGCUGUUGUCUUGUAAGCACAGGGACUAAAAACACACAGUGGAACCGGGGAAGGAAAAGUGAAAAGGAGCCCAGUAGGUUGGCUGCCCUGCCUCAUGUGGAUUUAGUCUGCUUAUGUCUGAACUUCUUGCCAUGUGGAAAGAAUUCAGUCCUUUUUUAAUUAAGCCAUUGUAGUCAGGCUUCUGUUACAUGCAGCUGAACACAAUCCAGAAGCAAGUCACAAGCCCAUGUUCACAUAACAGCAGGCCCGUAUUGUUCCGCAUUCCUUCUGUAGGUGUGUACUUCCCUGCUUGCCAAAAUUUAACCCCUCACUAUACUGCUCUUAAAAGUAAUUUUGGGGGCGCCUGGGUGGCUCGGUCGGUUGGGUGUCCGACUUUGGCUCAGGUCAUGAUCUCACUGUUGGUGGGCUCGAGCUCGCAUCGGGCUCUGUGCUGACAGCUCAGAGCCCGGAGCCUGCUUCGGAUUCUGUGNUCCCCCCCCCCCCCCCCCCCCGCAAGCUCUGUCUCUGUCUCUCUCAAAAAUAAAUAAACAUUAAAAAAACUUUUUAAUUAAAAAAUAAAAGUAAUUUUGGGGCCCCUGGGUGGCUCAGUCAGUUAAGUGUCUGACUCUUGGUUUGGCUCAGGUCAUGAUCUCAUAGCUCAUGAGUUGGAGCCUCAUGUCCAGCUUUGUGCUGACAGUGUGGAGCCUGCUUAGGAUUCUCUCUCUCCCUCUUGUAGCAGGAUUCUUGCACAGAGAGUCAUGACACCGAGGCUUUUCUUUCCAGGAAGCAACUUAAUUCCUGCCGGUACCCCCCAGAUGGGUUCGUACCCAAAGAACUGAGCCCUUAACGCCAUGUGGCCAUUGUUUACUUCUUUGUCUCCCACGUACAAUAACACACAAACAUGUAGUCUGAUUAAGUGGUCUCAUGUUACAAGGUCGUGAGGGCUGUUGUCAAGUACACAAAUGGCAAGGUUGCCUUGAGGUUUGUUUUUUAUUUCCUUUCCUUAGGGAGGGUACCCUAACACACUCUCUCUCUCUGCCCCUCUCCCACUCACAUUCUCUCUCUCAAAAAUAAAUAAAUUUUAGAAAAAAGUUUAUAGGAAAAAACAAAACAAAAACAAAAUAAAACGUUGUUUAUAAGAAUGUUUAAUUGUAACUGUGUGGUGAUAUACCAGGAAUAAUGACUAAAGCUAUGUUAAUUUAUUUUCUUCCUUUGAUUUUAACUGAGUUGAUCAGGUGACCUCUAUAAGCAGCCAAAAUUAGCAUGGCUUGAGCACUUACCCAAAUAAUACUUUGUUUUCCAAAGUGGAACAACUGAAUUAUGACUUUAAAAUAGAAAAACUUCAUGAAAGCUUAAAUGUAAGGCAACUUCCUCUUUUCUGAUAAUCCUUAACUUCUACUUAGGCAUUGAGAAGCAUCAGAAUAAUUCUGGGUAUCUGGUAUUCUGAAUCUAGGUACGGUCAAUAUUAUGGAGGUUGACCUGAGCCCUUAACGUUUUUUUUUGUUUUUUUUUUUUUAUUUUUAUUUUUGGGACAGAGAAAGACAGAGCAUGAACGGGGGAGGGGCAGAGAGAGAGGGAGACACAGAAUCGGAAACAGGCUCCAGGCUCCGAGCCAUCAGCCCAGAGCCUGACGCGGGGGCUCGAACUCACGGACCGCGAGAUCAUGACCUGGCUGAAGUUGGACGCUUAACCGACUGCGCCACCCAGGCGCCCCGACCUGAGCCCUUAAGGUCUUCUCUCUUUCUAGCCAGGGUGGCUUCCUUGGGGAUGGGAAUUAAAGGUAGAGUUAAAAAUGGAAAAAUGCUAAACAUUAAAUUUUUUUUUUUUUAAAGUAAGGGGGUACUUGGGUAGCUCAUUCGGUUAAGCGUCUGACUCUUGGUUUCAACUAAGGUCAUGAUCUCAUGGUUUGUGGGUUCAAGCCCCGUGUCAGGCUCUGUGCUGGGAGCAUGGAGCUUGCUUGGGAUUCUGCCUCUCCUCUCUCUGCCCCACCCCUGCUCAUGCUGUCUCUCUCUCUCUCAAAAUAAAUAAACAUCAAAAAAAAAUUUUUUUUAAUGGAAAAAUGCUCUUGGAGUUUGGGAUAAAAAUCCUAGGGCAGAGGGAAAUUUCUAGAGAAGCAGUUGAAUUCACUUUAUGGGCGCAAGAGCCCUAUUUAUGGUGUGUUUUGAAACAUGGUGUAGAAGAGGCUGGAUCUUCAUUUCAACAUAAAGUGAACUGAACAGAAAAUUCUAGAAGAAUGGGAGUUUCCUCCCAGAGACUGGAUUUUGGGUUCCCGGAGUAGCAUGACAUGGGACUGCAAUUAUUCACUUGGGUGUUAAUAGACAAGUUGACCCUAGAACACUGGAGGUUUGGAAAGGACUGAGGUUACAUCUGGAAAAUCACCUAGCACAUGUGUCUAGCAUAUGGUAGAUAGCCACCACAGGCUUGUCAAAUGUGAACACAUUCAUUCGACUAUACCCAAGCUAGGUUCAAUACAGUAUAAAAGCUUAUCUGGAAUAUAAAUCAAAACAACGGUCCUGUCAAGCGAAGUGUUCUGUAUAAAUCUCCAGAAUUGAAUUCAAGAUUCCGAACAAACACUUAGCGAGCCUCUGCUUUGUGCCACGCACUGUGCUCGGAAUUUUCACAUGCAUGUUCACCCACUCCUUGCAACAGUCCUUGCCUUAGAGGUUUCCUCUGCUCAGUUGGCUAAAACAGAAGCCCCACUGCUACACUUGGCAAGGUCCUGUGUUGCUCAAGCCCAGGAUGUUCUGCCCCUGCAGAGGAGCUGACCCGCUGGCUCUGAGCAUGUAUUCCAUGUCUCCCUCUCCCCACGAGGCUUCUGGGUAAGAGUGAAUUAUUUGUGGGGCGCCUGGCUGGCUCGUUCAGUAGAGCAUGUGACUCUUAAUCUUAGGGUUGUAAGUUCAAGCCCCACAUCGGGUGUAGAGAUUACUUAAAGAUAAGAAAAAUCUUUAAAAAAAAAAAAAAAAAGAAGAAGGAAGGAGUGCCUGGGUGGUUCAGUUGGUUAAGCAUCUGACUUCAGCUCAGGUCAUGAUCUCAUGGUUCGUGGGUUCGAGCUCCACAUCAGGCUCUGUACUGACAGGUCAGAGCCUGGAGCCUGCUUCCGGUUCUGUCUCCCUCUCUCCCUGCUCCUCCCCUGCUUGUGCUUUGCCUCUCCCUCUCAAAAAAAUAAACAUUAAAAUUUUUUUUCUAAAAGAUUGAAUUGUUCAAUUCUCUGUAGGGCUGUGCAUUCCUACUCAAGAACUACAUUUACUGGAAAACAGGAUGGAGGUUCCUCAAAAAAUUAAAACUAGGGGCGCCUGGGUGGCUCAGUCGGUUAAGCGUCCGACUUCAGCCAGGUCACGAUCUCGCGGUCCGUGAGUUCGAGCCCCGCGUCGGGCUCUGGGCUGAUGGCUCAGAGCCUGGAGCCUGCUUCCGAUUCUGUGUCUCCCUCUCUCUCUGCCCCUCCCCCGUUCAUGCUCUGUCUCUCUCUGUCCCAAAAAUAAAUAAAUGUUGAAAAAAAAAUUAAAAAAAAAAAUUUAAACUAGAACUACCCUACGACCCAGCAAUUGCACUACUAGGUAUUUAUCCAAGGGAUACAGGUGUGCUGUUUUGAAGGGACAUAUGCACCUCCAUGUUAAUAGCAGCACUAUCAACAAUAGCCAAAGUAUGGAAAGAGCCCAAAUGUCCAUCGAGAGAUGAAUGGAUAAAGAAGAUGUGGUAUAUAUAUAUACAAUGGAGUAUUACUUGGCAAUCAAAAAGAAUGAAAUCUUGCCAUUUGCAACUAUGUAGAUGGAACUGGAGGGGAUUAUGGUAAAUGAAAUUAGAGAAAGCCGCAUAUGAUAUGACUUCACUCAUAGGAGGACUUUAAGACACAGAACAGAUGAACACAAGGGAAGGGAAGCAAAAAUAACAUAAAAAGAGGGAAGGGGACAAAACAUAAGAGUCUCUUAAAUAUGGAGAACAAACAGAGGGUUAAUGGAGGGAGUGUGGGAGGCGGGGUGGGGUAAAUGGGUAAGGGGCAUUAAGGAAUCUACUCCUAAAAUCAUUUUGCACUAUAGGCUAACUAACUUGGAUAUAAAUUAAAAAAAUAAAUUAAAUAAAAAUAAAUAAAGUAAAAAAAAAAAAAAAGACUACAUUUAUGCCUAAAACGACUAACACCCUUCACUAAUUCCACAUCUUUCCACUGAAAGAGCAAUAGCAUAUUAUUUUCACCUGAAUUUACAUCUCACUCAGGGGAAUUAGUUCUCAUUUAACAGAAAAACUGAGGUAAAGGGGGACUAAUCCCAGAUUAUAGUUAGAUAUUGUAGUUUAAAAAAUUUGUGUAAUGUAUGACACUGAUGUUUCUCAAAUUUAAGAAUUAUAUUAACUUUAUUAAAUUAUUUUGUAAUUUAAAAAUAAUUUUAAUGUAAGUUUUAAUUUAAAUUUUUAAAAGUUUUUAAAUUAAAAAAAUUUUAAAAUAAUAUUAACCUUUCCAAGGGGAAAAAAUUCUCAUAAAAUCCCAAGACUAGACCCACUUACCUCAGUGGGAGAAACACUACUUUAAGAAACAAAAGUUGUUAGUAUCCAAAAUAUACCAAGAACUUAUAAAACUCAACCCCCCAAAAUCCCCCAAAUAAUCCAGUUAAAAAUGUGCAGAAGACAUUUCUCCAAAGAAGACAUCCAGGUGGCCAACAGACACACGAACAGAUGUUUAUUGUCACUUAACACCAGGGAAAUGCAAAUCAAAACCACAAUCAGAUAUCACCUCACACCUGUCAGAAUGGCUCAAAUCAAAAAUGUAAGAAACACGAGGUGUUGUCAAGGGUGUGGAGAAAAUGCCACCCUCUUGCACUGUUGGUGCAGCCACUGUGGAAGACAGUAUGGAGGUUCCUCAAAAAAUUGAAAAAACAACAACCCUAUGACCCAGGAUUUGUACUACUGGGUAUUUACCCAAAGAAUACAAGAACACUAAUUCAAAGGAAUAUAUGCACCCCUGUUUAUUGCAGCAUUAUUUACAAUAGCGAAAUUAUAGAAGCAGCUCAAGCGUCCUCUCUCUCUCUCUCUCUCUCUCUCUAUAUAUAUAUAUAUAUAUAUAAUAUAUUAUUAUAUAUAUUAUUCAGCUAUCAAAAAGAAUGAAAUCUUGCCAUUUUUCAAACAUGGAAGGAGCUAGACAGUAUAACACUAAGUAAAAUAAACCAUUCAGAGAAAGACAAAUACCAUAUGGUUUCACUCAUAUGUGGACUUUAAGCGAUAAAACAAAUGAACAAAGGGAAAAAAGGAGACAAAAACAAAAAAAGAACGAAAGUCUUCUACAAAAGUUUUUCAGGUGUGAAUUAUCACUAUAGAUGGAUUAUUUCUUUAUAACCAGUAAGAUGGUUUUUAUACUCUUCUUUACAAUGGAAACUCCACAUUAAAAUUCUUCACCAAACUCCCAAGCCUUUAAGAUUUGAGUAGGUGCCUCCCACUGCCUCCCAGUUUGGGAAAACAUAUGCCCAACCACAAGAUUAUUUCUAUACAAAACCAUUUCCAAUCACGUAUGGGACUUUGGAGGCCCUGACAGGUAAGGUACCAUGCAGAUUUCCUUCUAUGUGCACUUAAGGGGGAAAUAACCCAGCAUAAUGCUUUCAUCUUAGUCCCUGUAAAAUAUAGUUAGUCUGCAUUUCAUCCUCUGGGUUUGCUGGGUGUGUUGCACAAGCUUUUGAGCCACAUUUGCAUUUUCAAGCAUCAGAUGUCCUCUGGGGUAGUUCUCUCACAUGAAGAUGCCCAUUCUAUCAGUGGCCAGUGUUGCAAGAGUGGCAAGGCCUUGGGAGAGCUUUGUCCUCUGAGGCUACUGGCUGCCCAGAAAUCUGCGUUUGUGAUGACAUGUGGUUGUAUGCCAUAUGGUGUCGCAAGGGGUCUGGGAUCCUUUCCUGCAAGAAUUCAGCAGAAUCGUGUUACAGUGUCCAUGGUCUCAGGAGAUGCACUCGGUACUGACAAAUGAACGGGUGACCUUCUGAAAAGCCCACAUAGAAAUGGGGCAAGCCACGGAAAUGAAGGCAUGGAUUUACCCAUUGAGGAGCAACUCAAGGGAAAAAUUGGCCGGGAUUCCCCACCAAAACCUGGUGAUUCAAAGGACUCAUCAUAGAACUGUUCCAAAAUGUUGGACAGAACUUUCAGAGUUAUAUUUAUUAGCAGUUCCAUUUGGUUCCUAUAAAAACUGUUGCUUCAACAAGACUGAUGAUUAAACAUCUCAUAGAAAAUUUGUUAUUCUUAUUACCAGAAGGAACAGCAUCGAAUCUGUGAUGAUUUUCAGUGGUAGGAUGACAAAUGAUGUUUUUUCUUUCCUGCUUCUAUAUGUUUCCUGUGCUUUCCGAAUGAGCUCUCAUGAUGCAAGAGCCAGGAUUUAGACUCAGACAGGUGGCUCCACUAUCUAAUGCCCACCUGGCCUUGGGCAAGAUACUAAUCCCACUCUAUUUCAUUUCCUUCUAUAAAAUGGGGAUAACAGCACUAAUAGUGUCUGCCCCCAUGAGGCUCUUAUGAGGAUUAAAUAAGACAAUACUGGCACAUAGUAACUAUACCCAAAUCUUAGCUGUUAUUCCGAUGCCUACUAGCCUUCACUGAUCCUAAAACCCACUUUGUUUCUCUUUCUAACUUAUUACUUCCUACUAAUUAGGAUGCAUCUUUACCCUUGAUGGAAUAAAUGGCUUACCGGGCAGAAUUUUUUUUUUUUUGGUAACCUUGGUGAUACAUAAAACAGAAAUGCAUCAUUAGCUGAUGGUAUUACUUUGUGUUGCAUGAGUAGUUAUUUCCCAUUGUAUUUCCAGUGAAGGAUAUGAGGAAAUCACAUUUAGCUCUGAUACUUCUGGCGUCUCAGAAGCAGGAAGUACCUCCCCAACCAAAGGGUAUGGCAGAAACUGGGCUGAAGAGACUCCUUUCUUGCCUGGUCCUCAUGAGACUGCAGUUUGGAGAGGGCGAGUUGAAUGCAAAAAUAUGUUUGCAGCACACCUGGAAUAAUAGAUAAGAAGGAGAAUUGACUUGGGUGGCAAAGUGGCAGUAUUAGAAGUUUUAGGUGAAGCUGGGUUGCACAGAUUUUUGACCACGGUGGUUUCAUACAGUAAGUCUGAAAAAUUGUACAAUUAACUUUUAACUGCUGCACAUAAGUGAGCAUCUCUUUCCCUUGUGUAUUUUAUUUUUGUUUAUUUUUUUAUUAAAAAUUUUUUAACAUUUAUUUAUUUUUGAGAAACAGUAGUGGGAAAAGGGCAGAGAGAGAGGGAGACAAAGAAUCCGAAGCAGGCUCCAGGCUCUGAGCUGUCAGCACAGAGACCUAUGCAGGGCUUGAACCCAUGGACUGUGAGAUCAUGACCCGAGCCAAAGUCGGAUUCUUAACCGACUGAGCCACCCAGGCGCCCCUGUUUUUGUUUUUGUUUUUAAUGUUUAUUUAUUUUGAGAGAGAGGAAGGGAGAGAGUGCUAACACUCUUGCAAGCAGGAGUGGGGGGAGGGGCAGAGAGAGAGGGGAAGAGAAUCCCAAGUAGGCUCCAUGCUGUCAGAUGCUUAACUGACUGAGCCACCCAGGCUCCCCAAUCCUUGUGUAUUUUGAACUUGCUGGUUACUGCUGCAUAUGAGGCUCUGUUCGCAGGCCAGUGGUUGUCUUUAAUGGAGGAGAACCCAGCAAACACAUGAGGGCCACAGUUGGCCUCAGCAGACAGCCACGAGGGGGCUGGUGAGCAGGCAGGCACUGACCUUAUUGUCCUUAGCAAAGGUACUGUCCCCAAACGGUGGCUUGACUGUGCAGGCUGUAGCUGGUCCUUGGGUUACACAGGCACGUGUGCUCUGGCCUCCUGAGCUUCUGGCAAUAUCAGUAGGUCUCAGAGGGAUUAAAAGCUGGAGAAGCGGAGGCAGCCAUCCAAUUUUAGGAAGACGAUUCUUUGGCCAUACUUUCAAAGCAGCGUUCUUCAGCUGCUUUGAAGUGCGAUGCAGCCGAGUUGUGCGUGUGUGUGCGCGCACGUGCCACAGAGGGUCUCAACUGUGCCAGACCUUCCUGGGGAGCACCGGCCGCCGCGCUGUCUCAAUUCCAUUCUGCAUCCAGGCCCAAGGAGUGAUCUGUGAAGGGGCUAACCUUGGAUUCACAGGCCUGGAGCACAGAUGCAAGAAUUUCCCUAACCAUGUGAUCUUAAUGUGGCUCAAAUUAGAAGGCAAGGUUCUGGGGACUAGCGGACCAACAGCUAGAGGUGGUACAGACAGCCUCGAUGGCCAAAGACAGAAGAGGUCCGCUCUUAUAAGAAUGCAAAUGCUGAGGUUCCUGGGUGGCUAUGUCUGUUGAGUGUCUAACUUUGGCUCAGGUCAUGAUCUCGCAGUUCGUGGGUUUCAGCCCCGAGUCGGGCUCUGUACUGACAGCUCAGAGCCUGGAGCCUGCUUCGGAUUCUUUGCCUCCCUCUCUCUCUGCCCUUCUCCCACUCCUCUGUCUCAAAAAUAAAUGAAUGUUGGGGCGCCUGGGUGGCGCAGUCGGUUAAGCGUCCGACUUCAGCCAGGUCACGAUCUCGUGGUCCGUGAGUUCGAGCCCCGCAUCGGGCUCUGGGCUGAUGGCUCAGAGCCUGGAGCCUGCUUCCGAUUCUGUGUCUCCCUCUCUCUCUGCCCCUCCCCCGUUCAUGCUCUGUCUCUCUCUGUCCCAAAAAUAAAUAAACGUUGAAAAAAAAAAUUAAAAAAAAAAAAUAAAUGAAUGUUAAAAAAAUUAAAAAAAAAAAGAAUGUAAAUGCUAUGUAACUGGCUGGGGCUGGCCUUCAAUUCACAUGGGGUUCUAGUGAGGAAAAAUGUAUGCUCCAAACUAUGAAACCCAUGUAACUUUGUCACGAUCCAGCUAGCACACACUUUUCAUGGUUCCCUGAUUCUGAUUCUCCAGUGGCUAUUUUACAACUUUGUAAGUUGCAAAUAGUGGAGGGCAGUACCAAAGAAUUCCUGUCUACGGUCAUGGAAAGGAUCCUACGCAAAAGCCAGGUUUGUAUCCAUUUGUAUACUCAUUUCAACACUACUUACUCUGUAAAAAUUUGUGCUUCUUUGACUUCUUUCAGCCAGUUGUCUGCCUCUUCCGUUUAAUCUAGGAGUUAUAUAAAAUCUUUAAGACCUGUUCAUUUUAUAUCUGUAUGUCAGUCGUGUAUUUGCUUCUUUUCAAAGUAUCUUUUAACACUAGAAACAUGGAGUUUAUAGGAGGAAUGAAAGUUUAGAAGUUUUCAAUAUAUUGGAUAGGAAAGAAAGACAUCUUAAAUAAGACUGAGGAUGCCACCAGGUCACAUUUCUAGACUUUGCUGAAAGCAGCAAUAUCUUAAAUGCCCUCCUGUGACAAAAGACAGUCUGCGCAAGUGGAUUUUUCUCCCAAUCUAGAAAAUUCAUGAGUUGCAAAACUAAUUUCCUGCCAAGAGACAUUUCCCAACUGAUUUGAAGAUCACAGAGCACAGAUUUUCGACAAGUGGAAGAAAUUCUGGCACAUUGUUUUAGCUCAACCCAAGGAGGUAUCCUCCUCUUUUUCAGUGCCACUGAAUUUCUACAGUGAUCCUUGCCAACUCUCUUUGGUUUAAACUAAGUACUGAGUCCAGGGAAUGUAAUUUGGCUCUGGGCUAACUGCCAUGGGCCUGGGGAUUGAAUCAUUUUCUAAAAUUGGUAGAUGUGGGGCCAAUGCUAGGGUAGUCUUAUGUGUCCUACUAAUGAUUAACUCUAGACUUUUUCAAGGGUGGUUUGUGAGAGAUUUAGCGUUAAGUGGUACCCCUUCUUACGAACUACAUUAAUUAUGGCAGGGAGCAGCCUAAGCUAUAGCUGCUGGAAGAGUCAUAACUUUACUGAAGAUGGAGAAUCCAUUUCUCAAGACUGAAUAAAAUAAGAAAUUGGAAGGGGUAUAUUGUGAACUUUAAUGUCUUUGAACUUUCACACUGAAAGGCAAGGGAAAUUGAUUCUGGACUUUUAAUUCCUUUGAACGACAGUGGCUUUCUAUUUGCCUUGUAAGUAGGGCUUCGUGUGUAGACCUCAGUUGUUCUUUGAGAACUGUUACUGGAAGGGAGUUUAUAUUGAUACCAAUAUGUUGACCAUUUUUGGUUGGACUAUACUCACAUUGUCAUUUCCUAUCAUUGUGAACCGCUAACAGACUUUGUUGGACAACGAGGCUGCUCAGAAUUGGGUAGAAUUGGGUAGAAAGUGGCCUUGGCCUUAAUCUACCCAAUGUAUUGUUCUGAUGCAUUUAUGAGCCUUCUGGAGGCUAAAUGAAAACUGCCCAUAGGUGGUCCCAGCAUGCUAUUCAAAGCGGAAGGCAUUGGUAUUGAGUCACUCACGGGACUGCUGCUAUUUUCCCCCAAGCAGGUGGCUGCACCUCAGGAUUAAUGGCUCAUAGAGCACAAAACUAGAGGCUAUGUUUGGGAAACACUCCUGAAGUGUCUUCCUUGUGAAAGACAGUCAUUAGGUAACUCUCCACUCCCUCACUUAAUCAGAUUCAUGAGUUCGGAAGGAGAAAAUGGGCCUGCAUAGCAUAGAUUAUUCAUUUUCCCCUCCUCCUGAGGGUGAGCUGCCAAAGAGAACAUGCACCUUCCUCUUCCUUGUACAGAGGACAGCCCUGUCCAGCGCUGUCGGGAGAGGAGCCAUCUAAUUCUGGUUCUGGUAUCUGGAAGCCUCCUUAUCCAUAGGUACAAGCCCCCUUAGGCAUCAUCAGCGCCAGCAUCAGCUUUAUUAGUAAUAAAGGUGAUAUUGGGAUCAUAUCCAAAACAGGCCCCACACUGACAGCAGUGAGCCCGAUGUGGGGCUCAAACUCACAGACUGUGAGAUCAUGACCUGAGCCGAAGUCGGAUGCUCAACUGGCUGAGCCACCCAGGUACCCCCUUUUUUGGGUAACUUUAUUUCAAAACAACUCAAGAAGAAGAAGGGUGUAAUUUUUGGACUUUCCUCCAAUCCCUAUAUUGUACAUUCAUAUUUUUCAUGGUUAAUACAUUUUAUUUAAAAAUUAUCUCUUAAUUAUUCAAAACAAACCAAUCACAUUCCAAAGAGUAAAUGGGCUCUACUGAAAAAUCCUGGACUUUUCCCAUAAAUGCAUGACCUUGAGUGAAUUUGAGGAGUCUUUGUUUGGGGCUCUCUGUUUCAGCUACCCUGAUGUCUUGUGAUUUAUCUUUUGGGGGACAGCUCAAUUUCUGAUGUGUGACUAUACAUCCUGAUUUUUCUAUGAUAGUCCUGAUGUCCUAGAGUAAUAUAUUAAUACUCUUCUCUUUCAUUCUCAAAAUUAUUCCAGAUAGAAGAGAUUAAAUGGUCACCAUACAGGGGCGCCUGGGUGGCUCAGUCGGUUGAGCGUCCAACUUUGGCUCAGGUCAUGAUCUCGUGGUUCAUGGCUUCGAGCCCCGCGUCAGAGUCUCUGCUGACAGCACAGAGCCUGGAGCCUGCUUCAGAUUCUGUCUCCCUCUCUCUCUCUACCCCUCCCUCACAGUCUGUCUCUCUCUCUCUCAAAAAUAACUAAAUAUUUAAAAAAAAAUUAAAUGGUCACCAUACAGAUGAAUGACAGCAUCAACAAGACUAAACACUAUAUGCUAAUUUCUUCUCUAAGUGAUCCAUGGAUCAGAAUUUUACUUAGGUUCCUAAAAAAUUAAAAAGAAAAUGUGAAAACGUAAAGUCACGUUUCAUUCUAAACAUUUCUAGAUUUGUCUGUCCAACAGAACACUGAGGUGGAAGAAAGAAAACUACUAUUAAUACCCUCUGUUUACAUUGCUCUUUGUUGGAUACCUUCACGUUUACCAAACCUGUUUAAUCCUUAGGAUAGAUAUAAUUCCCUUUUACGUGAAAUGAGUCUUCGAGAAUUAGCUCACAAACCUCAGGGAUGACACAAGAAAGGGAAAGAAAAGUUUUGUGCUGCAGGUGGAUUUAGAUCAGAUUCUUUCAUUCCUUUCCAACCACAAUGUGCCUCUUCUUGGUAAUAUUAUAACAUCGUCCUCACACUUGGUUAAGGGGCAGAGGUAGGGCAGGAAAAAAAAAGCCUUAAUUUAAUUCUGAAAUAUAUGGAGAGCUUUGAUUUGAGGAAGUGCUAAAUAUUAUAUCAUGGCUUUAGUUAACUAUAAACCCUACCUGACUAAUUAUUGCUCCAUUUUCUAAGGUCUGUGGCUUUGAAGAACAUUUUCACGCAUGUAAUAAGGCAAAGGCAUGGAAAAUUAUGGGGGAAAAAAUGUGUCUUUAACCAUUCUGGGCGUAUCGAAGAAUGUAAGCCUUCAUUUGGACAAGUGAAGGUUUAGACACAAAAUCAUAGGAUUCUGAGGAAUGUGGGAUAGCACUCUGUCCAUACAUAAACAUUAAAAAAAAUGUAUUGGUAUGCUAGGGCUUAAACCAUUUUGUUUUUUGUAUAUUGUUUUUAUCCCUGUGGUUUUUUCGUUUCUGUUUCAUUUGUCUUGCCUUCCUUGCCUGUCAGCAUUUUUUGGAAAUCCAUUUGGAUUCAUCUAGCAUUUUUGGAGUAUAUUUCUAUUACAAAUUUUUUUCAUGAUUGUUCUAGUUAUUACAGAUGCGUAAAUAAUCUUAGUCUACUAAGUGACAACAUUUUAUCAGUUCUAUAGAAGUGUAGAAAUUUUACUUCCCUUUGAGUCCUUCUAGUUUCUUCCCUUUAUAAUAUAAUUGCCUUAAAUACUUCCUCUGUAAACAAUGAAACACAAUGUCCUAAUUUUUGUCAUAAUUAUGUCAAACAUAAUUGAGGAACUCAAGAGAAGGAGAAUGUAUCGUAUUUACCCAUAUUUGUACCCUUUUUCCUUUUUCCCUGAUCUUCCAAGAUUCCUUCUUCUUUCAUUUCCUUUCUGUUUCAGGAACUUCCUGUCGCCACUUUUUAAAAUUUUUUUAUUUAAAAAAAAAUUUUUUUUAACGUUUAUUUUAUUUUUGAGACAGAGAGAGACAGAGCAUGAACGGGGGAGGGUCAGAAAGAGGGAGACACAGAAUCUGAAACAGGCUCCAGGCUCUGAGCGGUCAGCACAGAGCCGGAUGCGGGGCUCGAACUCACGGACCGCGAGAUCAUGACCUGAGCCGAAGUCAGCGGCUUAACCGACUGAGCCACCCAGGCGCCCCUGUCGCCACUUUUUAAGGGCAGUUCUACAGGUGACAGAUCCUCAUCCUUUUCCUUUAUCUGACAAUGUUUUGAUUUCUGCGUCAUUUCUGAAGAAUAUUUUCCUGAGUAUAGGAGUCUAGGUUGACAGUUCUUUUAGCGCUUGAGAAAUAUUAGCCCCUUCCUUCGGGCCUCCAGGGUUCUGAUGGGAAAUCUAACAUCAGUCAAAUUGUUUUUCUUUUAUUGGUGAGGUGAUGCUUCUUUCUGGUGGAUUUCAAGAUUUCUCCUUGUCUUUAGGUUUUAGAAGUUUGAUUAUGAUGUGUUGUUGGGGUUUUCUUAAAUUUUUUUUUUUUAACAUUUAUUUGUUUUUGAGAGAGAGACAGAGAGAGACAGAGCAUAAGUGUGGGAGGGGCAGAGAGAGAGAGACACACACAGAAUCCAAAGCAGGCUCCAGGCUCUGAGCUGUCAGCACAGAGCCCGACGUGGGGCUUGAACUCAUGGACUGCAAGAUCAUGACCUGAGCCAAAGUCGGACACUUACCAACUGAGCCUCCCAGGCGCCCCUGUUGUUGGGGUUUUCUUUAGGUUUAUUCUACUUGGAAUUCAUGUAGCUUCUUGACUGCUUACACAUAGAUGUGCUUCUCUGUCUUGCCAAAUCGGGGACAUUUUUCAGCUAUUAUCUCUUCAAAUGUUAGAAAUUUUGUUGUAAUCACAUAGGUCCCUGGGACUCUUUUUUUGUUUGUUUGUUUGUUUUCCAGUUUAUUUUCUCUCUGCAGAUCACAUUCGGUAAUUCUAUUGUUCUGUCUUCAAGUUUACUGAUUCUUUCCUCUUUCUUCUUCAUUAUGCUGUUGAGCCCAUACAUUGAGUUUUUAAUUUUAGUUAUUGUAUUUGUAUCUGUAAAAUAUCUACGCGGUUUUUCUUUAUAUCUUUUUCCCCCUGAGACGUUCUCUUUUUUCCAUUUGUUUCAGGUAUGUUUGUGAACCUCAUUGAUGCAAUUUAUUUAUUUUUUUAAUGUUUAUUUAUUUUUGAGAGACAGAGAAAGUGCAAGCAGGGGAAGGGCAGAGAGAGAGGGAGACACAGAAUCCAAAGCAGGCUCCUGGCUCUGAGCUGUCAGCACAUAGCUGGACAUGGGCUCGAACUCUUGAACCACGAGAUCAUAACCUCAGCCAAAGUCAGGUGCUUAACUGACGGAGUCACCCAGGUGCUCCUCAUUGACACAAUUUUAUAAAAAAUUUCUUUUUAUUAUGUUUAUUUUGAGAGAGAGACAGACAGAGUGGGAGUGGGGGAGGGGCAGAGAGAGAGGGGGACAGAAUCCGAAGCAGGGUCCAGGCUCCGAACUGUCAGCACGGAGCCCUAUGCAGGGCUCGAACCCACAAGUGGUGAGAUCAUGACCUGAGCCGAAGUCAGAUGCUUAACCGACUGAGCCACCGAGGUGCCCUCUUACUGAUGCAAUUUUAUGAUAGCUGUUUUAAAACCCUUGUCAUAUAAUUCAAGCAGCAUUUGUAUCAUCUCAGUAUUGGCAUCUGUUUAUUGUUUUUUCUCAUUCAAGUUGAGAUCUUCCUUAUUUUGGUACAAAGGGUCAUUUUCUUAGUGAGUAUUUUGGACUUUUGAGGUAUUAUGAGACUCUGGAUCGUAUUUAAAUCUUCUGCUUUGGCAUACCUCUUCUGACAUCAUACCAGCAGGGCAAGGGGGUACUGCCCAUCACACCAGCAGAAGAAGGAAGGAGGUGCUGGGUCGGGUUAGAGAUCUAGGUUCUUAGUUCAGCCUCUUUUGAUGUCUUCAGGACAGGGAGAGGGCACCUCAUUACAGCUGGGUGAGGAUGGAAGUCUAGGCUCCCCAUUUGGACUUUGCUGACAGGAUUGGGUGGGACUCCAGUUUUCUCCAUGGUGUUUGGCUGAAGUUGGGUGGUCAUUGUCAAAAAUUUUCCAUCUUGCGGGAAAUUUUCCAUCUGGGUGGCCCAGUCGGUUGAGGAUCUGGCUUUGGCUCAGGUCAUGAUCUCUUGGUUCGUGGGUUUAAGCCCUGGAUUGGGUCCUGUGCUGACAGCCUGGAGUCUGGAGCCUGCUUCAGAUUCUGUGUUUCCCUCUCUCUCUGCCCUCCCCUGCUUACACUCUGUCUCUCUCUAUCACAAAAAUAAGUAAACUUUAAAAAAAAUAAAAAAAAAUUUUUCCAUCUUGCCAGGCUGGCCCUUUCUUGGUCCUUUGGCUAGAGAAUAAAGGCUUUCCCUGGGCUUUAUUUUUUUCUUUGUCUGUGCCUGUUGGUGUUUCUGGGUUCCAGGCUCUUCCGGCACCCAGUCCAGAGUAUGCAAUGCAAAAGAAAAUCCAGAAAAUGCACUGCCAUGUUUUUUUCUAAGGUUUCAAAGUCUCUGGCUGAUCUCUUUUCUUCUCUCAAUCUCUCCAAGUAUUCUUAUGCUUUUUUUCUGUAUAAUGUACAGGGCUAUAGCUAUACCUAGAGGCAAAGACUGGAAGAAGUAUGUCCAUUCUAUCUUGUAGCUAUAAUCUUCUAACUCAUUUUAUGCACUCUCAUGGUCCAAAUAUUUUGAAAAAACUCUGAGCUCCAGAAAGUUCUAUUGCCGAGGUGGAAAUGUGGAUCCCUGUGUCAGCUGGUUCCAUCAAAUAUUUGUAUACCUUUGUGUAUGUCAUUGUGUGAUGUCAUUGUGAAGGGAUAUUAAUUUAGGAGAAGAUUUACAUUAACUGACUUACCUUGGUCAAAUUUGCCUUUUCUUUUCCUUUCUCUUCUUUUCUUUUCUUUUCUUCUUUUCUUUUCUUUUCCUUCCUCCCCCCCCCCACCAACCCCACCCUAGAGAAUGUGAGCAGGGGAGGGGCAAAGAGAGAGGGAGAGAGAAUCCCAAGCAGGCUCUGCCCUAUCAGUGCAGACCCCAGUGCAGGGCUCAAUCUCAUGAACCAUGAGAUCAUGACCUAAGCUGAAAUCAAGAGUCAGAUGCUUAACCCACCGAGCCAUGCAGACGCCCCUUAUUUGUCUUUUCGAAUUGCAUUCUGCCAGAUUACUUUUGGCCACAUUUCUUUCUUUUGCCAAAUCAUAGGCAAAGUUUAACUUCCUGAGUGAGUAUUUACUUCUUUUCCUAAUUGGUGAAAUAAUUUCAGAGACGUUUUCUUUGGAUUUAGCAGUGAAACAAAGAUGACCUCAGCUGCCUCCAUUUUGAUCUCAAACUUUCUAGCUGGUUUCUCCUUCCAACUUGUCUCUGGGCUCAGGUGGAAAAUCCUGAGGGAAAGCAUCCCCUGAUGGAACUGAAACUAACCCCUUCAGUAAUAAGGGCUGCCCUGAGCCUGCAAGACCCCACCUAAGGUUGACUCGGAGACAGUGAUCAAUUUGCCCUUCACUGCCCAUCUGCAGGUACCCAGCCACCUUCGCCCCACAUUCUCCUUAUAUAAACCUGGAAGUAUUUUCAUCUUCCCACUGUUGGCCUCGCUGAAGUACAUUCCUUUCUUGUUUCACCACCCCUCAUCUCUCUGCCUUGGGAUUUUGUCAGGGGCCAGUGGCUAAACCUGGUCUGUUUGGGACCCUGGGGCCAGUGCUCUUAUAUCUCUGCUCCCUGGCUACCAAGCCACUUUCUCUAAUCUCACAGCUCAUUUCCGAUAUGAGCUCCAUUGACAGAGUUUACCUGUGAGGUGUGGUUGCUGAGUAAAUUUCAGGAUGUUGUAAAUUCCUUUUCAAGGGAACUUAAAUCUCAUUGUGAGUGAUGCGGGUUCUAGAGUAAGGCAGCUCCAGAUUGAGAACCUAGAGUAUGUUCCUGGAGGGAGUCACCAGAGUGGAGGCUUUGGCUAAGGGGAUCGAGGAAGAGCCCAGGGGAUCACAAAGAAAAGGAGAGAAGGGUGUGGUAUAAGGUGUGGGAGAACCAGUGUGUGGGUGAAGCCCCAAAGGUUAGAGAAAGGCCACCCAAAGUGGCAUAUUCCUGAGAGCUAGUCACGUGACUGACUUUGCCUAUCAGGGUGGCGGAAGCCAGGGAUUUUGUGCUGUACUAGGUAAUCAGAUUAACUAUGACAGGAAUUGCAAACUCAGAUGGGUACAGGGACCACGGUGAUGACAUGGUUAUGAAAACUAUUUCCCUUCCUUCUUAGCUCUACCAUAAUAAAACCAGUAACUCCAGCCUGAUUAUAAUUAAUAAAACACUACAGAGGCUUCCCGUGUCACCCAGUAAAUGAUAGAUUCCUGUCAGUAGUCUGCAAGACCCUUUUCUUUCUCUUCCCUGCUAUCUGUCUGAUCUCUUGUGUAUUCUGCUCCAAACGAGAAUUACUGUUCGUUGAGGAUGCCAGGUCAACUCCCUUGUUUGGGAUCUCCCCCUGGGCAGUUGCCUCUGGCUAGAAUGCUCUUCCCUGAGCUGCAUAUAUGACUCGCUCCCUUAUUCAUUCAGGUUUUUUUUCUCAAAAGUCACGUCUCAUUUUCCAAAGAAGACCUCCAGAUGGCUAACAGACACAUGAAAAGAUGCUCAACAUCACUCAUCAUCAAGGAAAUAUAAAUCAAAACCACAAUGAGAUACCACCUCACACCAGUAAGAAGGGCUAAAACUAACAACUCAGGAAGCCACGGAUGUUGGCGAGGAUGCGGAGAAACAGGAAUCUUCAUGCUCUGCUGGUGGGAAUGCAAACUGGUGCAGUCACUCUGGAAAACAGGAUGGAGGUUCCCCAGAAAGUUAAAAAUAGAACUACCCUACAGCAAUUGCACUACUAGGGAUUUACCUAAAGAAUACAAAAAUACUGACUUCAAGGGGCGCAUGCACCCCAAUGUUUAUAGCAGUAUUAUCAACCAUAGCCAAACUGUGGAGAGGGACCAAAUGUCCAUCGACAAAUGAAUGGAUAAAAAAGAUGUGGUAUAUAUAAAUAUAAUGGAAUAUAUCGUCAAAAAGAAUGAAAUCUUGCCAUUUGCAUUGAUGUGGAUGGAGCUAGAGUGUAUAACGUGAAGCAAAGUAAGUCAGAGAAAGGUGAUUACCAUGAUUUCACUCACAUGUGGAAUUUAAGAAACAACACAGAUGAACACAGAAGAAAGGGGGAAAAAGAGGGAAGCAAAUCAUAAGAGACUCUUAACUGUAGAGAACAACCUGAGGGUUGAUGGGGGGUUGGCCUACAUGGGUGUAAGGUAUUAGGAGGGCACUUGUGAUGACGAGCACUGGGUGUUGUAUGUAAGUGAUGACUCAUUAAAUUCUAAACCUGAAACCAGUUGUACUGUAUAUGUUAACUGGCUAGAAUUUAAAUAAAAACUUGAAAUUAGGGGCACCUGGGUGGCUCAGUUGGUUGAGCGACCAACUUCGGCUCAGGUCAUGAUUUCACGGUUCGUGAGUUUGAGCCCCGCGUCGGGCUCUGUGCUGACAGCUCAGAGCCUGGAGCCUGCUUUGGAUUCUGUGUCUCCCUCUCUCUCUGCCCCUCCCCCACUCAUGCUCUGUCUCUCUCUGUCUCAGAAAUAAAUAAACAUUAAAAAAAUUUUUAAAAAACCUUGAAAUUAAAAAAAAAAGCAAAUUCUAAACUGAAAGAAACGAAAGUCACCUGUGACCCAGGGCUUCCCUGACUCCCUAGUUAACAUCUACAUUUCUUUCUGGAUUUCAUCUUUUUACUUUGUACUUAUGCCAUCCAGCAAACUAUGUAUUUUACUCAUUACAUUGUUUGUCUCUCUUUCUCCAAACCCGCUAAAUGGAGACUUCACGUAACUUCACGAUGGUUAGGUAUUUUUGCCUGUUCAGUUGCUGAUUUAUCUCCAAUACCUAGAAUGAAGGGUCUCAAUAGACGCACAGGUGUUAAAUGAAUGACAAGGAACAUGUAACGGGCGUUGGGAAAAGGGUCGUAAGUGCAGGACCCUUCGGCAAAGUGGAAAAGGUAUACUUCUUCUAAAGGGCAGCUAAUACCUAUUUCCUGUGAUUUGGGGCUUGUGAAAAUACAGAUCAAAUAAUGCCAGACAUUUUGAUCUUCAGGGAAAACUAAACAUCUCAAGUCAUAUAAAAAUGUUGCCAAUUUUAAUUUUUCUAUCUUAUUGAGGUAGACUUUAUGUAUAAUAAAGUGCAUUUAAGUGUUCAACUUGAUGAGUUUUUUUAUUAUUAUAUGAAAUUUAUUGUCAAGUUAGUUUCCAUACAACACCCAGGGUUCAUCCCAAAAGAUGCCCUCUUUAAUGCCCAUCACCUACCCCCCCCUCCCUCCCACCCCCCAUCAACCCUCAGUUUGUUCUCAGUUUUUAAGAGUCUCUUGUGCUUUGGCUCUCUCUCCCACUCUAGCCUCUUUUUUUUCUUUGUUUUUUCCUUCCCCUCCCCUAUGGGUUUCUGUUAAGUUUCUCAGGAUCCACAUAAGAGUGAAACCAUAUGGUAUCUGUCUUUCUCUGUAUGGCUUAUUUCACUUAGUAUAAGACUUUCCAGUUCCAUCCACGUUGCUACAAAAGGCCAUAUUUCAUUUUUUCUCAUUGCCACGUAGUAUUCCAUUGUGUAUAUAAACCACAAUUUCUUUAUCCAUUCAUCAGUUGAUGGACAUUUAGGCUCUUUCCAUAAUUUGGCUAUUGUUGAGAGUGCUGCUAUAAACAUUGGGGUACAAGUGCCCCUAUGCAUCAGUACUCCUGUAUCCCUUGGGUAAAUUCCUAGCAGUGCUAUUGCUGGGUCAUAGGGUAGGUCUAUUUUUAAUUUUCUGAGGAACCUCCACACUGUUUUCCAGAGUGGCUGCACCAGUUUACAUUCCCACUAAUAAUGUAAGAGGGUUCCCGUUUCUCCACAUCCUCUCCAGCAUCUAUAGUCUCCUGAUUUGUUCAUUUUGGCCACUCUGACUGGCGUGAGGUGAUACCUGAGUGUGGUUUUGAUUUGUAUUUCCCUGAUAAGGAGCGACGCUGAACAUCUUUUCAUGUGCCUGUUGGCCAUCUGGAUGUCUUCUUUAGAGAAGUGUCUAUUCAUGUUUUCUGCCCAUUUCUUCACUGGGUUAUUUGUUUUUCGGGUGUGGAGUUUGGUGAGCUCUUUAUAGAUUUUGGAUACUAGCCCUUUGUCCGAUAUGUCAUUUGCAAAUAUCUUUUCCCAUUCCGUUGGUUGCCUUUUAGUUUUGUUGGUUGUUUCCUUUGCUGUGCAGAAGCUUUUUAUCUUCAUAAGGUCCCAGUAAUUCACUUUUGCUUUUAAUUCCCUUGCCUUUGGGGAUGUGUCGAGUAAGAGAUUGCUACGGCUGAGGUCAGAGAGGUCUUUUCCUGCUUUCUCCUCUAAGGUUUUGAUGGUUUCCUGUCUCACAUUUAGGUCCUUUAUCCAUUUUGAGUUUAUUUUUGUAAAUGGUGUGAGAAAGUGGUCUAGUUUCAACCUUCUGCAUGUUGCUGUCCAGUUCUCCCAGCACCAUUUGUUAAAGAGACUGUCUUUUUUCCAUUGGAUGUUCUUUCCUGCUUUGUCAAAGAUGAGUUGGCCAUACGUUUGUGGGUCUAGUUCUGGGGUUUCUAUUCUAUUCCAUUGGUCUGUGUGUCUGUUUUUGUGCCAAUACCAUGCUGUCUUGAUGAUGACAGCUUUGUAGUAGAGGCUAAAGUCUGGGAUUGUGAUGCCUCCUGCUUUGGUCUUCUUCUUCAAAAUUCCUUUGGCUAUUCGGGGCCUUUUGUGGUUCCAUAUGAAUUUUAGGAUUGCUUGUUCUAGUUUCGAGAAGAAUGCUGGUGCAAUUUUGAUUGGGAUUGCAUUGAAUGUGUAGAUAGCUUUGGGUAGUAUUGACAUUUUGACAAUAUUUAUUUUUCCAAUCCAUGAGCAGGGAAUGUCUUUCCAUUUCUUUAAAUCUUCUUCAAUUACCUUCAUAAGCUUUCUAUAGUUUUCAGCAUACAGAUCUUUUACAUCUUUGGUUAGAUUUAUUCCUAGGUAUUUUAUGCUUCUUGGUGCAUUUGUGAAUGGGAUCAGUUUUCGUNNNNNNNNNNNNNNNNNNNNNNNNNNNNNNNNNNNNNNNNNNNNNNNNNNNNNNNNNNNNNNNNNNNNNNNNNNNNNNNNNNNNNNNNNNNNNNNNNNNNNNNNNNNNNNNNNNNNNNNNNNNNNNNNNNNNNNNNNNNNNNNNNNNNNNNNNNNNNNNNNNNNNNNNNNNNNNNNNNNNNNNNNNNNNNNNNNNNNNNNNNNNNNNNNNNNNNNNNNNNNNNNNNNNNNNNNNNNNNNNNNNNNNNNNNNNNNNNNNNNNNNNNNNNNNNNNNNNNNNNNNNNNNNNNNNNNNNNNNNNNNNNNNNNNNNNNNNNNNNNNNNNNNNNNNNNNNNNNNNNNNNNNNNNNNNNNNNNNNNNNNNNNNNNNNNNNNNNNNNNNNNNNNNNNNNNNNNNNNNNNNNNNNNNNNNNNNNNNNNNNNNNNNNNNNNNNNNNNNNNNNNNNNNNNNNNNNNNNNNNNNNNNNNNNNNNNNNNNNNNNNNNNNNNNNNNNNNNNNNNNNNNNNNNNNNNNNNNNNNNNNNNNNNNNNNNNNNNNNNNNNNNNNNNNNNNNNNNNNNNNNNNNNNNNNNNNNNNNNNNNNNNNNNNNNNNNNNNNNNNNNNNNNNNNNNNNNNNNNNNNNNNNNNNNNNNNNNNNNNNNNNNNNNNNNNNNNNNNNNNNNNNNNNNNNNNNNNNNNNNNNNNNNNNNNNNNNNNNNNNNNNNNNNNNNNNNNNNNNNNNNNNNNNNNNNNNNNNNNNNNNNNNNNNNNNNNNNNNNNNNNNNNNNNNNNNNNNNNNNNNNNNNNNNNNNNNNNNNNNNNNNNNNNNNNNNNNNNNNNNNNNNNNNNNNNNNNNNNNNNNNNNNNNNNNNNNNNNNNNNNNNNNNNNNNNNNNNNNNNNNNNNNNNNNNNNNNNNNNNNNNNNNNNNNNNNNNNNNNNNNNNNNNNNNNNNNNNNNNNNNNNNNNNNNNNNNNNNNNNNNNNNNNNNNNNNNNNNNNNNNNNNNNNNNNNNNNNNNNNNNNNNNNNNNNNNNNNNNNNNNNNNNNNNNNNNNNNNNNNNNNNNNNNNNNNNNNNNNNNNNNNNNNNNNNNNNNNNNNNNNNNNNNNNNNNNNNNNNNNNNNNNNNNNNNNNNNNNNNNNNNNNNNNNNNNNNNNNNNNNNNNNNNNNNNNNNNNNNNNNNNNNNNNNNNNNNNNNNGAAUUCCUUCAGUUUUUGUUUGUUUGGGAAGACCUUUAUCUCUCCUUCUAUUCUAAAUGACAGACUUGCUGGAUAAAGGAUUCUCGGCUGCAUAUUUUUGCUGUCUAGCACCCUGAAAAUCUCGUGCCAAUUCUUUCUGGCCUGCCAAGUUUCAAAAGAGAGAUCAGUCACGAGUCUUAUAGGUCUCCCUUUAUAUGUUAGAGCACGUUUAUCCCUAGCUGCUUUCAGAAUUUUCUCUUUAUCCUUGUAUUUUGCCAGUUUCACUAUGAUAUGUCGUGCAGAAGAUCGAUUCAAGUUACGUCUGAAGGGAGUUCUCUGUGCCUCUUGGAUUUCAAUGCCUUUUUCCUUCCCCAGAUCAGGGAAGUUCUCAGCUAUUAUUUCUUCAAGUACACCUUCAGCACCUUUCCCUCUCUCUUCCUCCUCUGGAAUACCAAUUAUGCGUAGAUUAUUUCUCUUUAGUGCAUCACUUAGUUCUCUAAUUUUCCCCUCAUACUCCUGGAUUUUUUUUUUAUCUCUCUUUUUCUCAGCUUCUCUUUUUCCAUAACUUUAUCUUCUAGUUCACCUAUUCUCUCCUCUGCCUCUUCAAUCCGAGCUGUGGUCAUCUCCAUUUUAUUUUGCAGCUCAUUGAUAGCAUUUUUUAGCUCCUCCUGGCUGUUCCUUAGUCCCUUGAUCUCUGUAGCAAUAGAUUCUCUGCUGUCCUUUAUACUGUUUUCAAGCCCAGCGAUUAAUUUUAUGACUAUUAUUUUAAAUUCACUUUCUGUUAUAUCGUUUAAAUCGUUUUUCAUCAGUUCGUUAGCUGUCAUUAUUUCCUGGAGGUUUUUUUGAGGGGAAUUCUUCCGUUUCAUCAUUUUGGAUAGUCCCUGGAGUGGUGCAGACCUGCAGGGCACUUCCCCUGUGCUGUCUUGAGUAACUUGUGUUGAUGGGCGGGGCCACAGUCAGACCUGAUGUCUGUCCCCAGCCCACCGCUGGGGCCACAGUCAGACUGGUGUGUUCUUUCUCUUUCUCUACCUCACUGUGGGGUGGCGUGGCCUGUCUGGGCUACUUGCACAUUGCCAGGCUUGUGGUGCUGGGGAUCUGGGGUAUUAGCUGGGGUGGAUCGGCAAGGUGCCCGGGGGCGGGAGGGGCAGGCUCAGCUCGCUUAUCCUUCCGUGAUCCGCGUCAGGAGGGGCCCUGCAGCACCAGGAGGGAGUCAGAUCCGCAGAAGCACAGCAUUCAGUGUUUGCACGGUGUAAGCCAGUUCCCUGGCAGGAACCGGUUCCCUUUGGGAUUUUGGCUGGCGGAUGGGCGAGGGAGAUGGCGCUGGCAAGUGCCUUUGUUCCCUGCCAAGCUGUGCUCUGUCAUCCGAGGCUCAACAACGCUCCCUCCCGUUGUCCUCUAGCCUUCCCGCUCUCUGAGCAGAGCUGUUAACUUAUAACCUUCCAGAUGUCAAGUCCCGCUUGCUGUCGGAACACACUCGGUCAGGCCCCUCCGCUCUUGUAAGCCAGACUCGGGGGCUCUGCUUUGCCCGCGGCUGCCCCUCCGCCCCGGCUCCCUCCCGCCAGUCCGUGUAGCGUGCACCGCCUCUCCGCCCUUCCUACCCUCUUCCGUGGGCCUCUCGUCUGCGCUUGGCUCCAGAGACUCCGUUCCACUAGUCUUCUGGCGAUUUUCUGGGUUAUUUAGGCAGGUGUGGGUGGAAUCUAAGUGAGCCGCAGAACGCGGUGAGCUCAGCAUCCUCCUACGCCGCCAUCUUCCGAGUUUUUUUUUUUUAAGAUUUUUUUUUUUUAAGCAAUCUUUAUACCCAACAUGGACCUCAAAUUUACAACCCCAAGAUCAAGAGUCACAUGCUCAACUGACUGAGCCAGCCAGGGAUGAAUUUUGAUGUAUGUAUACAACCAUCACUACAAUUAAGAAACAGAACAUUUCUGGGUUGCUUGGGUGGCUCAGUCAGUUAGGCGUCUGGCUUGAGCUCAGGUCAUGAGCUAGCAGUUCAUGAGUUUGAAAUCUGCGUCAGGCUCUGUGCUGACAGCUCAGAGCCUGGAGCCUGCUUCAGAUUCUGUGUCUCCCUCUCUCUCUGUCCCUACCCCACUGCUGCUCUGUCUCUCUGUGUCUCUCAAAAAUGAAUAAAAGGGCGCCUGGGUGGCUCAGUCAGUUAAGGGUCCAACUUCAGCUCAGGUCAUAAUCUUGCAGUUUGUGGGUUUGAGCCUCCUGUCGGGCUCUAUGCUGACUGCUCGGAGCCUGGAGCCUGCUUCAGAUUCUGUCUCCCUCUCGCUCUGCCCCUCCCCCGCUUGCACUCUGUCUCUCCCUCUCUCUCAAAAAUAAAUAAACAUUAAAAAAAUUUUUUUUAAAUGUAUGUUAAAAAAACAUUUAGAGAGGGGAAGAAAGAAAGAAGAAAGGAAGAAAGGAAGAAAGGAAGAAAGGAAGAAAGAAAGAAAGAAAGAAAGAAAGAAAGAAAGAAAGAAAGAAAAACAUUUCCAUUGCCCUGGAAGUUUUCCCUGUGCAUUUUCCAGUCCUUUACUCCCUCCCCUCCACCCUUAAGACUGAUCAGAUUUCUGUCAAAACACACUGGCUUGCAUUUUCUAGAAUACCAUACAAAUGGAAUCAUGUGGUAUGUGCUUUUAUUUUCUGGUGCCUUUUGCUCAGCGUAAUGGCCUUGAGAUUCAAAUCAUAAUGUGUGUAUAAUUCAUUAAAAAAAAAAAAUGUCAGGUAGUGCUUUCUGGGAUGAAUAUACCACGAUUUGUUGAUUCAUCCACCUGUCGAUGGAUUCGGGUUCUUUGUUUGUCGAUGGAUUCGGGUGUCUUUGUUUCGGCAAAGACAAAGCUACUGUAAAUAUUCACGCACCGGUCUUUGUGGGGACUAUGUUUUCAUUUCUCUUUAAUUCUCCUUUUAUUUUUUUCAAUGUUCAUUUAUUUAUUUAGAGACAGGGAGAGAGUGCGUGCACCAGCAGGGAAGGGGCAGAGAAAAAGGGAGAGAGAGAAUCCCAAGCAGGCUCCUCACCGUCAGCGGAGAGCCUCCUGUGGGACUCCAUCCCACGAACUCUGAGAUCAGGACCUGAGCCGAAAUCAAGAGUCAGAUGCAUCAGGUACUUGGGUGGCUCAGUCAGUUAAAUGGCUGACUUCGGCACAGGUCAUGAUCUCACAGUUUGUGAGUUCAAGUCCCACAUCAGGCUCUGUGCUGACAGCCUGGAACCUGCUUCUGAUUCUCUCUCUCUCUGCCCCUCCUUUGCUUGUGCACUGCCUCUCUCUCUCUCAGAUAUAAAUAAACAUUUUAAAAAAGAGACGCUUAACCAACUCAGCUACCCAGGUGCCCAAUUCUCCUGAUUUUUAAAUAUUGGUAAAUAAUAUAAAAAAAAAGAAAUUUAGGGGCGCCUGGGUGGCUCAGUCAGUUAAGCAUCCGACUUCAGCUCAGGUCAUGAUCUCAUGGUUUGUGAGUUCGAGCCCUGCGUCGGGCUCUGUGCUGACAGCUCAGAGCCUGGAGCCUGCUUCGGAUUCUGUGUCUCUCCAUCUCUUGGCCCUUCCCCUGCUCAUGCUCUGUGUCUUGCUGUCUCUCAACAAUAAAUAAACGUUAAAAAAAUUUUUUUUUAAUUUUAAGCCCAAGCAGGCCAAUAAUGAGUAGUUUAAAUAAAAUGUAGCUGUAAGCCAGCAGGUCCAGCCUGUGGCUGGCCAGUUUGUAGUAGAUACUGAAGUGUUAUGUUUUUCUUUUUGGUAACAGACGUAUCCAGUGGUUUUUUAGUGUAAGCUUUCCGAGGCUUGAGCCCAGAUACCUGCAUUCACCAUCCUGAGGUUGUUCAGUCAUGCAGAGACCAUGAUAUGAGGCCAUAAUUUCUGGCAUUGGUAGUGUUCUUCUGCCCGGACACCCUCAUUGGGAGUCCGCUGAAAGGGGCUGACCAUACACAGCAAGCUUGGGUUCUAGGGAUGGGAGGCUAUCCUGGCACAUCUCCUCCGAUGAACUGGAACUGUCGGGACAAUUGUCAUAGUCAGUUCGGGGUGCCUACUUGGGGUACUUCAGUCUGGUCCCACCCCACCCCCCCCCAACUCCACCAAAGUAGCUGACCGGGAGCCAGACAGCUUUCUUUCAUCUCUGCCUGUGUGGUCCCCCCCAGCUCUUAGCUCCCACAGGUAGCCUCUUAAGGGCUCUGCAGUGACAUUUCCAGGAAGGCAGGAACACAGGGAUCUUUUGUUCUCUUUGACACGAGGAGGAGGGAGAACCGCAGGAUUGGUUUGGACAUUAAUCCUGUUUAUUUAUCUUUCACUUCCUUUCUAUCAGAGGUAGAGAAAGGGGAGAAGAAGUCACUCUCAGCUCUGGAAGGUCGCACUGUCCUCUGCACAAAGGGCAAGUCAACAGAGAAGGUCAAUUUGGGUAAAGAUAGGGGAUAGUGGCCUUGUGAGACCUUCAGUCCCUUGGCUGAGAGGCUGGCAGGAACCCAGCAUCAGUGCAGAGCUCUUUCAGGACCGUGUGAGGAGGGCUUCCCUUGGGGAUACUGGCAGGGGACAUCCCCGCAGGAGAGGCAGCAAAUAGGAGACCCACAUGGUAGCCAAGAUAGUGGUUUCAGGUCCCAUGUGGAACACCGCCUGCAUACUCCUCAGUGUGGGAUGAAUUUGAGCUGAGAUUCUGCAGAGGGGGUGUGGACAGGCCGGGAGAAAUAUUACGUUGUUAUCACUAGUAUGCCUCUCUCCUUUAAAAUUGAAAACAAUAGCCAGGGACGCCCGGGUGGCUCAGUUGGUUGAGAACCUGACUCUUGAUUUUGGCUCAGGUCAUGAUCUCAAGGUCAGUGAGUUCAAGCCCUGUGUCGGGCUCCACACGCACAAAGCGCAGAGCCUGCUCGGGAUUUUCUCCCUCUCUCUUUCUGCCCCUCUCCCCGCUUGCGUGCAUGCACUCUAUCUAUAAAAUAAAAAAAUAACAAUAAAUAAGAAAAAAUAAAAUUUUAAAAAAACUCUUAUUUUUUUCUCUUAUUAUAAUAGUAGUACACACUUGCAACAAUUUCAGAAAAUUCAGAAAAGCAUGAAGACCAAUAUAAAAGUCAUUGGAGCUUCUACUAUAUAGAGAUAGCCACUGUUAACUUUUUGAAGAAUAUCUUCCUAGAGUUUUCAAUAUUCAGGGAGACAGAAUCUAGUAUAUCUAUAAUAUAAAAUAUAGUAUAUAAUACAUAAUAUACUAUAUACACAUUUAUGUGUACAUACAUAUACACAUCCAUACAUAGACAUACAACAUCUCAUGACAGAGACAUGCACAGGGCUGGAUGCUGGCUGGCACCAAGGCUUUCUGGAAAUCAGGCAGCAAAAAGACUGAGGGAAUCUAAGGGAUCAUCACAGUGCCCCUGAAGCCUUGAAUAAAGUCAGCAAAAACUCACAAAAGGCUGACAGGGAACAGAGUUAUUGUGAAGGAGUAAGUUUUACAUUGAAGUCCUAGUUCUAGGAAAUGAAACAAGACCAGUGCACCCGGGCACAGAAGUGCAGAGGCAGCUGGAGAGAUGAAGAAGUAAACCUCCGGGGAGGAGUCAAUUCUCAAAGUGCGUUGGUGUGAAUCCAAUCCAGCUGUCACGAGGUCCAAAGCCAGUUCAACCCCAGUGGGCACCUUAGCUACUACUUGGCUCUCUCGCUCUCUUUCCAUCCAUAUGUAUAUGUUAAUACCUCUGUGUUGAUAUAUAUCAGCACAUACAUAUGUGUAAAUAUAUAUACAUACAUAUCUAUAUAAUUUUCUUUUAAUGUUUAUUUAUUUUGAGAGGGUGUGCACACACACUUGCAUACAGGGGAGGGGCAGAGACAGAGAGGGAGAGAGAGAAUCCUGAACAGGCUCUGGACUGUCAGCACAGAGCCCGGUGGGGGGCUUGAUGGCCACCAACCGUGAGGUCACGACAUGAGCCGAAAUCAAGAGUCAGACGCUUAACCAACCGAGCCACCCAGGCGCCCCUUAACUUUCACUGUUUAUAUCUUGCAGAUAACUAGCCAGUUGUCCCAGCACCACCGUGUUCUCAGACUUCAUAUGUCUAAUUUACGACCAUCUUAUUUUGGCCCCAGAUUGGCAGAGAUAGAGACAUGUAAGAGACACAUAUGGAAGCUGCCUGCCCUUCUUUUUUUUUUUUUUAAAGUUUAUGUAUUUAUUUUGAGAAAGAGAGUGUGUGGGCAUGAGCCAGGGAGGCACAGAGAGGGAGAGAGAGAAUCCCAAGCAGCCUUUGUACUGUCAGUGCAGAGCCCAUCAUGGGGCGGGAACCCAGAAACCAUGAGAUCAUGAUCUGUGGGGAAAUCAAGAGUCUGCUAUUUAACUGACUGAUCCACCCGGGUACCCUCAGAAUAUGUGUUCUAACACUGUUUCCCAGGUGAUUCACAUGCACGAUCGUGUUUGAGAAGCCUCAGGGUAUUUGUUCAAGGUGAUUGGUAGGGACAGAGCGUGGACAGUAGUAACUUGAGGUGACAGCAUAUUGCAAAGAGGGGUUUUUCAGAAUAGGGGAGAUGUGCACAGGUUUUGGCUGGAAAGGAAGGGAACAGGAGUGGGGAAGAGAUUCAAAAGGAGGAGAGAGAGUUGAAGAAAGCAAGUGGAUGGAACCAGCAGUGAGUAGAGAAGCUUCUCCCUCUGCAGGAAAUGGAGGGGGAGGGGUGCGGGCACAGAAGGUGGAGGAAAGGUGGUCGUUUUCUCACAUAAUGCACAGCCUCGAGGACAGGGGUUGUCCUGGGUCACCUGCUUUUGGGCCAUCCUGAGACACUGCUGCCCCUUAGUAAUGAUUCAUGGAGGGAAACAAGUGAAUAGGAUAAACCUCAGCAAAAGCAGAAUUCCCCGCUGUUGUCAUUGUGAUUUCCAGGACACUGGAAGGGGACUCUCCCCCAAAGUUAUUUCCUCAAUCUUUAAAAUUUGUUUCUUGUUAAAUCGCUUUAUUGCUUUUUUUUUUUUUUUAAACAGAGAGAUUGAGAAUGAGCUGGGGAGGAAGACAGAGGGAGAGGGAGACAGAGAAUCCCAAGCAGGCUCAGCACUGUCAGCACAGGGCCCGACUUGGGGCUCGAUCCCACAAACCAUGAGAUCGUGACCUGAGCUGAAGAGUCGGAGGCUUAACGAACUGAGCCACCCACGUGCCCCAAUGCGUCUAUUCAUCUUAAGUGAUAUUUUAAAAUAAAUUAAGCUCUCUCACAUGUGGCUUUCUUAAAGUGGAAGGUCACACUAAAAUUAAGUUGUCCUGCCGUUGAUAUGAGUUUAGUAUUCAAGCUAUGUGUAUGGGCCCCUAAACUUGUUUUGCAAACUUGUUUUCAGGCGAAAUGAAAAAGAAUGAAAAGGCAUACAGGUUAAAAAAGAACUCUGAUAAGGCUUUUUUUUUUAAUGGAAAAAUUAAAAUAGGGGUUCUUGGGGGCGCCUGAUGGGCUCACUCACUAGAGCAUGUGACUCUUUAUCUGUGCGCUGUAAGUUUGAGCCCCGCAAUGGGUAUAGAGAUUAUUUAAAAAUAAAAUCUUAAAAAAUAGUAAUAAAUAAAUAAAAAUUAAAAGAUGAAAUAAGGUUUCUUUUGUCUUUUCUUUGCAAGUUCAAGUUUACUACAUAAUUAAAACAUACUUUUUUUUAAGUUUAUUUACUUAUUUUGAUAGAGACAGAGAUAGUGUGAGGGAGGGAGGGGCAGAGAGAGAGAGGGAGACAGAAUCCCAAGCAGGCUUUUCACUGCCAGCACAGAGCCCAAUGCAGGGCUCGAACUCACGGAACCGUGACAUGGUGACCUGAGCCGAAACCAAGGGUCGGAUGCUUAACUGACUGAGACACCCAGGCACCCCUUAAAGCAUAUAUUUAUUCAGGAUGUCACAAGAACACAUUUGUCAAGCUCCUGUACUGAUACGAUGGAUGUAACAAGCAGGUGUGAGUUAAUAGAACAGGCUGCAGGCCAGAUGCUGCUACUUGAUGUUUGAUUUCCAAAAGCAAACCACAAAAACGUUUCAUUGCAGAAAUGAUUAGCAUCCUUUGAAAAAUUUGCUCAAGAGGAGAAACAGGUCAUAAGAAUGUGCAAAGGGGACAAAGUCUUUCUUCCCUUGACCUUCUUUCCCUCACACUCUUAAAAUCAGAAGCAAUCUUUAGAACCAGAAUUUCUUUAAAAAGAUAAGAGAAGUUUCUCAUGUCUCCCUGUUGGCCCAUAUUUUGAUACAGGGAGCCAGAAGCAUGAGAGAGUGUGAUGACAAGAACAGUGUGGUGAGCAGGGCGGAGAGGAACCUGCCAAAGGUGAAGGAAAAUACAGAGAUUUUGCACACCAAAGAGAAAUUUCUCCCAUUUCACAAGCUUUCUAGGGGUCACCUUAAAAUAAACUUCCCUUCAAUUCAUGUGAGUUUAGCAUUCAAGCUGUAGGAAUGGCCGAGGAGUUAUUUGCAAACUUGUUUUAAAAAUGGUUCUAGGGGCACCUGGGUGGCUGGGUCAGUUAAGCGUUGGACUCUUGAUUUUGGCUCAGGUCAUGAUCCCAGGGUCAUGGGAUCGAGCCCCAUGUCGGGCUCCAAGCUGAGCCUGGAGCGUGGAGCCUACUUAUGAUUCUCCCCUUCUCUGGGCACCUGGGUGGCUCAGCUGAUUAAGCAUCUGACUUUGGCUCAGGUCAUGAUCUCACAAUUUGUGAGUUCAAGCCCCAAAUCAGGCUAGCUGCAUACAGCCUGCUUCGGAACCUCUAUCCCCUUCUCUCUCUACACCUCCCUCGCUCAUUAUCUUUCUCUCUCUCUCUCAAAAAUAAACAUUAGAAAGAAUUUUUCUCUCUCUCCCUCUGCCCCUCUUCUCCAGCUAGCACACUCCCUCUGGAAAAUAAAAACAAAACCAAAAACAAAUAGUUCUAAUGUUUUAAUCCGUGGUUUUUAUUUCUACUAACAUCAAAAUUCAGUUUUCCUGCACCUCACCUGAAGUUAAGGUUUGAAAAUAUGCUGUCCUAUUUCUUUCUUUUUUUUUCCCAAUGGAUUGUGAAAUAAUGCAGAGACAUAAUGUACUCCAUACACUAGGGAGGGUUUGAGGUUUUUAAAUCCAUUGCAAAUACAGUCAGUGGAUGGGAAUACAUCCAGAUUCCCACCCCGUUUGUCACUUGUGGCACAUCUGCUUCAAAGUCCCACUGCUCCAGCUCUGUUCCUUUUACAACAAAACCAGUUUCAUGCAGUUUCACACUUGAGAUUUUUACACAAGUGGAGACGAGAAGUCUUAGCUCAUUCCUACCUACCUGGCUUCAGUUUAAAACCCUCUUAUAAUUUAGGCAGAGUUGCAGACACAAAAACACCUCUGAACCGGUUCAGAUUAGGAGAGAUGGUUAGUUACUAUGGCAACACACCUUUCCCUCCCCUGGUGAGCUGGGAAUGGCACUCGGUCAUCACCUCAUCUCUGCGGUGCUGUCACCACGGAUUUCUUCCUCGGGGUAGUUUCAGUGAAGGAUAUGGGCAUCUCACCCACGUGAAAAAUUUCUGUCCUUGACACAAGCCAGCGGGUAGGUGGGGUCCCUAAGACCCAUGACUGCUUGUUUUCUUGAAAUACUGCUAGGGCAGAAAAUCAUGCCUUGCACAUCCCAGAAUUCAUUUAUUUAUUUUUUUCCUUUUGCUCCAAAAAAAAAAGACCGGUAGAAAGUUAGCGCGUCUAGAUUAGGACUGCGGAGUUUACCACAGUUUUGGGAAUAUCAGUCAUUGUGCAAGAGAACAGCCCAUUGGUAUCUGGGUCUCCCCCAGCCACAAGCAGUAGGUAAACACCAGUCAUCGCUGGAGUCCAAUGUCAAGGCCCUCCUUGCCUCAGUAAGUGGAGUGACUUCACUGUGAUCCGGUGAGCUCACUUCUCAUUUCAGUAGCCACCAAGCCUCCGAGUUACCGCUUGGAGGGUGGCAGGUUUGAGAAUCUCUCUCAAGGAUUUGAGGCAAGGUUUGCAACGUCCAGUGUCUGCAGGGGACAGGUAUGUGAUACAAGUGAGGAAGGCAGGCACGUGGAGACUCGGGGAACCACGGCACUCUUGCCCAAUAUAAAGGCCCUGGCUUGGUUUAAAGUAGCCAGCACCUCUCUGCUCCAUGUCACUUGUGUCACCCAGGAAUAGGACUCCCGUGUUGCAAGAUCUUUGGGUUUGUCAAGAGAAGCCGGAUAUUUACGGGAAGGAGGCAUCAUAAACUGUUGGCAACAAAUUCAUAAGAUAUUUUGAACCUGUCAUCAUGUGGUCCAAAACAUGUCACAUCCUUCAGGCCAUCACUCAAAUGUUGCUUUGUCACUAAGGGUGCCCCUGUUUCCGGUGACGCUCCCUGCCUCAGUCUGGCAUUUCCUUGUUCCCUUUCUCUGCCUUAUCUUUCUGCAUGGCGCCUGCUGCUGCCCACUGAGGGCAGAAACUUCUCUCCCAUUGCUUCUUUUCUGGAUGUCCAGCAUCAGGAACAGUAUUUGGACCACAGAAGGUCCUCAGGAAUGUUAUUGAAUAAAUGCAGGUCUGACACACAGAGACAGCACUAGAGUAAGGUAAGCAAGGCCCAAGGGCACGGAUCUUGCAGGACCACCGGAGUGAGCACCUCCUUAUAUUAUGCAUCCUAGGGGCGCCUGGGCAGCUCAGUCAGUUAAGCGUCCAACUUCGGCUCAGGUCAUAAUAUCUCCAUUUGUGAGUUCGAGCCCCGCAUCGGGCUCUGUGCUGACGGCUCAGAGCCUGGAGCCUGCUUCAGAUUCUGUGUCUUCCUCUCUUUCUGCCCCUCCCCCAUUCUCUCUCUCUCUCUAAAAAUAAGUAAACAUUAAAAAAAUUAAAAGGUAAAUAAAUUUUACAUCCUAGAGGCCACACCCUCCUCACCUUAGCCACAGCCCAGCUGAUGCACUUACCACAGUGGUUGCUGACAUGAUGCUGAGGGCAGGGUGAGAGACAGGAAAAUGGAUUGGAACGUCUAAAAACUCAUAUACUACUCUUAUUUAAAAACAUACAGCUCCGAUGAGCCUUGAAGAUGCACAGAUAAUCUUGACUAAGAAUGGUAUAGUGAUCUUCAGCUAGAAUGCAUUUCUUCUCAGGAUUGGGCACUGGAAUUCAUACUCUCUUCUGUAUUUUCUUUUAAAAAUUUUUAAACGUUUAUUUAUUUUUGAGAGACAGAGAGAGACAGCAUGAGCAGGGGAGGGGCAGAGAGAGAGGGAGACACAGAAUCCGGAACAGGCUCCAGGCUCUGAGCCGUCAGCACAGAACCUGAUGCGGGGCUCAAACUCACAGACCGCGAGAUCAUGACCUGAGCUGAAGUCGGACGCUUAACCGACUAAGCCACCCAGGUGCCCCUCUCUUCUGUAUUUUUACAUUGAAAAACAUAAAAUAUGAUGAGGUCAAUGUGAAAAUUUCCAUCAGCGAGGAGAGACAGAAUUGAUUUCAAGCCUAGGCCCAGGAUGAUCCAAGUUGAGAAUGCCUAUUUAGAGAAGAGCACCUAAAAUGUGGAACAAAUUGAAAAAAGAAUCAAUGUCUGUGCCAGAGAUAUUAUAACCCAUCUCAAAAUGAACUCAUAUAACCCGUUUCUAAUUGAAGUCAAAGCAAAACCUUGAAUGAAAAUUAGUUAAUUCUAGGCACACCUGGGUGGCUUAGUCAGUUAAGCGUCCAGCUCUUGAUUUUGGCUCAGGUCAUGAUCUCACAGUUUGUGGGUUCGAGCCCCGCAUCAGGCUCUGUGCUGAUGGCGCAGGGCCAGCUUGGAACUCUUUCUCUUCUCUCUCUCUGCCUCUCCCCACUUGCAUUCUCUCUUUUUCUCUCAAAACUAAAUAAACAUUUUUUAAAAAGUAGUAAUUCUAAGAAAAUUUCCAGAUACUGUAACAAGGCCAGCCUUGUGUUUGUUUGUUUGUUUGUUUGUUUCUUUUUAACAUUCAUUUAUUUUUCGAGAGACAGAAAAACAGCGUGAGCAGGGGAGGGGCAGAGAGAGAGGGAGACGCAGGAUCCGAAGCAAGUUCCAGGCUCCGGGCUAUCAGCACAGAGCCUGAUGGGGGGCCUGAACUCAUAAGCUGUGAGAUCACGAACUGAGAUCACAACCUGAGCCGAAGUCAGACGCUCAACCAACUGAGCCACCCAGGUGCCCCCAGCCAACGUUUUUUAUAUACAAUUUUACUGGCUAAAAGGAAAUGUCAUUCUGUGCUCAGACCCACCCAGGUGAGAAGGAGCCAUACUAUAAAAGCAUUAAUGUAACAGCAAGUGUUAUAGUUUGUUAAAUAGGAGAUUUGGACUGGACGCUCUGAGGUAGGGUAGCUGCCAGGGAACAAAGGAGAUAACGAGGCAGAUCAAAACACAAGCUGCCACGGGGCGCCUGGGUGGCGCAGUCGGUUAAGCGUCCGACUUCAGCCAGGUCACGAUCUCGCGGUCCGUGAGUUCGAGCCCCGCGUCAGGCUCUGGGCUGAUGGCUCGGAGCCUGGAGCCUGUUUCCGAUUCUGUGUCUCCCUCUCUCUCUGCCCCUCCCCCGUUCAUGCUCUGUCUCUCUCUGUCCCAAAAAUAAAUAAACGUUGAAAAAAGAAAAAUUAAAAAAAAAAUAAUAAAAAAAUAAAAAAAAAAAACACAAGCUGCCAAAGGGACUGCAUGAGAACUGGUUUGUCCAGCAGGGUAGUGGGAGGGACCCAUCAAGGGCACUUCUAAGGCACCCACUGUAGUCCUCACGGGAGAAUCCCAUGUAGACUGCUGCUGUGCCAGAUAGUACAAAGCCCUUUAGAAUGGCAGGAAUCAAGGAAGAACUUUUUGUACUCCUUUGCCUUCUUCCCUUUAACCCCAGGGGCCCAGGAGCCUUGUUUAGCAGGCAGAGAGAGAACAAAUGCCCACAUCCGCUCCUUGAAGUCUGCCCUUGCUAGGAGAGGGGAAAGAUCCUCUAGAGCACAGAAAGAGUUCUGCGUGUUACAUAGGAUCGACAUUCUCAUCGUCCAAUGAAAGCUGUUUUGUGACGUAAAGUGACCUAGGACAGUGUAUUUCCUAAGAGUGGGCAGAAAAGUCAUGGAACAUGCUGGAUUUUGUGAAGGGGAAAGGGAAACAAAACGCAUUUUAGAGGGAUAGUGGGAGAUAAAGCUCGAGCCAUGAGUGUUCUUGUUCUGUGUCCUAAUUAACCAAAGCUGAAGCCGACGCUGCAGUAAUCCUAUGACCAGUCUCUGCAAUUCUUGUUAAAUUAUCUAGAAAACCUGCUGUUAGGAAAAAACACUAAAGAGAAUAGCUUAAUGAGAAUGUGAAAAAAAGGGGCGCCUGGGUGGCUCAGUCGGUUGAGCGUCCAACUCUUGAUAUCGGCUCAGGUCGUGAUCUCGAGGUCCUGGGAUCCAGCUCCAUGUCAGGCCCUGCACUGAAUGUGAAGCCUGCUUGGGGUUUUCUAUCUCCCCUUCUCUCUCCCAAAAUAAAUAAACUCAAAAAAAAUGCUGGAAAAUGCACCAUCCACGUUAAGAAAAGCACUUCUAUCGUUAUCAUCAUUAUUUUGUUGUCAUUAUAUCGUCAUUAUGUUGUUAUAUCAUUGUUGUUACAUUAUUGUGCAAUGGAAGGCUUAUGAACAUUCUCGCAUAGAUUUUAUAUGAGAAAAAAUAUGUUUAUUGAGUGUAACCUGCCUGCCUUAUGGGACUAUUAAGGGAGUACAUGACAGAAGACUCGUAUAAUACACCUGGAAAGACCUCCACAUGUACUCUCCUAGAAUAUCACCUCUUUCUGAGUUUAUUUCACACCCUAAAGAUAUGUUGGGAGGGUCUCAAUAAUAAGAUUCCUUAAGAAGAUUAGAAGAGUUGUUUGAGAGUGAGUGAUUCCCCCCCCCCCCACCCCCGCCAGCUUCUCUGUCUUUAAAAGAGAAAAGGCUGAAUUAUUUUAGGGUGGUGGAGGCCCGCCCUCCCACAGCUGAAGUGGCAAGCUCUCAUGCAAACAGUUUCAUGACUUUUGGUCCUGUGCCAAUUUGGUAAAUAUUUGUAGGACCUGACAAACCAAAUUGGGACGAUUUCCCAGAAUCUCAGGGGGUAUAACUGUAAAAAAAUUUUAUAUGAGUGUGUGUAGUUUUUAGAAGUUUCGACAAGAUAUAGCUUAAGUUGUGGCCGAUAGAAGAAAAACCAUUACUCUUGUGCCAAUACAGUUAAUGGCAGCCAUGACAUCAGCCGAUAAGAAUGGAUGAGCAGAAGCUGUCCCUUUCUUUACCGGUAAAAGGUUGUGAUCUUGUGGUUCCAUAAAUCAUUACAUAAGUAGAUAUUUGAGGACUGGCAUUUAGACCAUUCAUGUGUCCUAUCUAUAACAAAGUCCCUGAUUUUCAAGAUGCCAUUCCUUUGUCUGUUUGAACUCCUUUGAGACUGUGCUUCCUCCUCAGUGCUUGGGUUCCGGGGCCCUCAGUGAAGUGCUGGUACCCUUGGGAGCCCAGAGUGGGGGUCCUUUGAGGAUGAGAAAACAGGACGUACAAUUCUGGGAUUUUAUUUCCUACUACCCAAGUUGAUCUUGAUUGUAGUGGUAGUUACAUGUGUACACACACACACACAUACACACAUACGUCCAAACUCACUGAAUUUGGAGCACCUGGGCGACUCUGUCAGUUGAGUGUCCAACUUCAGUUCAGGUCGUGAUCUUGAGGUUCAUGAGUUCAAGCCCCACGUCGGGCUCUGUGCUGUCAGUGCAGAGCCUGCUUCAGAUCCUCUGUCCCAUCUCUGUCUACCCCUCCCCUGCUCCCGCUCUCUCUCUCAAAAGUGAAUAAACAUUUAUUGAAAAAAAAACCUCACUUUAAAACUCACUAAAGGGAUGCACUGAAUUAUAUCUCAGUACAACUGAUUAAAAAUGAUUAUGCUACAAUCAAAUUGUUUUUAAUUACUUUUUGAUGAAAUAAUAAUUGACAUUGAAAACAAAACCCUUCAGUGGCUCCCAUUUACCUAUAAGAUUAAAUUCACACUGCUGAAGAAGAUAUUUAAAGCUCUCUACUGUAUGACCCCAAGCUACCUUCGGUAAAGGUUUUUAACUAAUUGUGUGUUAUGAAUCUUUUUGGUGGUCUGGUAAAAACUAUGGACUCCUUCCGAGAGUAAUGUUUUUCAAUGCAUAAAACAGAACGCAUAGGAAAACACAUACAAAGUAAACUGAUUAUCUGGAAAUUAUAUCAAAAUACCUACACAAUUUGUGAUCGUAGUAUAUGUUCUUCUUUCUUAACUCAUGACAUAACAAGAUCUAGCAUAAAUCUUGUUACUUCAUAAUUUCAAAGUGCCAACAAGCAUAAAUGAUGGCUUAAGAUGUCUGCAACUGUAAUGUGAAAUGAAAUAAUCUGUGAGUUUUAUUGGUGAGGAAGUAACACAUACUGCUUAUAGUUUUAUGGGACUUUUGCCCACAUUCACAAUGGCAGGAAAUGCUCAAUUUCAGUUGGAAGUCAAUGAAAAUAAAGGUGCGGUUUUUUUCCCUAUCAAAUUCAACCUCCCUGCACACACUCCCUCCCCCCACUCCUUCCCUGCCUUCAUUCCAAGUUAAAAAUACCUACCAGUUCCUGAGUUUCCCAACAGGCCCCAAGACACCCUCUGCCCUAGUGGAGGGGUCCCCAUCCUGAAGCUGCAGAGACAGCAGGUAACAUGAGUAUGUGAAUGCGUAGGAGAGUCAGACAGCAGAGGACCAUAAUGAUGGACACAGAGCCCAUGUCUUUGCUCCGGACAUUCAGAGAAAACUUUUUUUUUUUUUUUUUAAGUAUAGUAAUGUACUAGCCAAAUCAAGAUUAGCCCAGAGUUGGUCAGUGUACAACUACUCUUUAAUCAACCAGAAUGCACUGCCAGUUCCUUUCUCCUGCCCUCCCCUGCCACAUCCACAGAGAGUUCCCCUUAUGUAGAAAGCCCUUCCCCUCUAAUCUCUAUUAAUCAAAACACAGCUAGUUCAGAAGUUGGCAUUUCCUGCUUCUCCUAGCUGGAAGUCUUCUGGCCCUUGUCCGUGGUUCAAAUCCUUCUCUGUCUUCUUUUAUUUAUUUACUUAUUUUUAAGCACAGGUCACGUCUUGGCUUGUAUUGUGUUUACUAAUGUUCAUGUUCCACCUGCUCUAAUCCAUUGUGAGGUCUUGGAUGGCAGGGCACGGCCACGUUUCUUGCUCUUUGCAGCUCUGUGUGCACAGAGCUGAGGGGACAUGGUCGGGUCAGGCUAAUCGUAUGCAGCCGGCCUCUGCCUCCUCGCCUCUCUCUGCCUUAGGUCUUUGUCUUUACGUAUGGGUCCUAAAUCUAGAAUGAGAACUAAAGACUUAGGUCCUUUGUUCAUGGAAGGGCUUACAGUGUGAUCACAAACCUCCCAGCCCAAAAAGUAAUCGAUGUCCUUGAAAGUCUUCCUCUAGGAAUAGAUAUACAGUCAUUCUAUCAUUCAUGCCUAUAAUCCCUUAGAAACCAGGUGAGGGCUUACUGUAUGAAAUACAUCAGGCGGGGAUGGGCAGGAUGUACACCCUGUGACACAAGCUUGUGAAACUGUUUCUUAGUAGCCUAGAAACAAGGAAAUGAACGCCUCUUCAUGAAGAGCACUCAUUCUUCCUCUUAUGGCGUGAAUGUGUCCAAAGAGCAUUCUAUUAAUAUGGCUGGUCAGCAGCGCCCAAGGCCCCAUGGCAUCCCCCUAGUUGUGGACUCCAUAAAGUUACAUUUAAAGGCAUGAAAAAUAAUAAAACCUUACCUUGUAUCCUGGUUUUAGAAAUGCUUUGCAGCGUGACCUUGAAUAAAUUACUGAAGAUCUCUGAGCCUCCAUUUUGUCAUCUGUAAAAUAUGGGUGGUAAUAAUAUCUACCCCCCAGGGUUAUUUGAUGGUUACAUGACUUAAUACAUGUACCGCGCUUAGAACAGUGCCUGGUACAUGGUAAGUGCUCAAGGAAUGGCACCAGUGCUAGCUAAAACAAGACACCUCCCAAAUAUCUAUUUCCUAUCCAAGCACCUACUGUGGGCUAGGCACUGGGUUAGGCAUCAGGUUAUAUAAAGCUGAACAAAACAUAGCUUUUUUCCUCAAGGAGUUCAUAACAUAAUAUAAUGGCUUUCAAUCUGUAGGCUGGAGAUUCCUUUGGAAGGCUUUUUUCCUGAGAAUCUAUUUGUUCAUCAGACUGAAUAAAUAAUUUGCCUCAGACAUACAUGCUUUAUUUUUUUUAAGCUUAUUUAUUUAUUGAGAGAGGGAGAGAGUGCAUGAGCACAGAAAGGGAAGAGAGAGAGGGAGAGAGAGAAUCCCAAGCAGGCUCUUCAGUGUCAGUGCAGAGCCCGAUGCGGGGCUUGAUCCCAUGAACUGUGAGAUCAUGACCUGAGCUGAAAUCAAGAGCGGGAUGCUUAACAAGUGAGCCACCCAGACACCCCUAUGCUUUAUUGUUUAAAAUGUAUGUAGUUACUUUGUGCUUAAUACCUGUCAAAAUCAUUUAGAAAGACUCCUUAUUUCAUAUUUUUGGUCAUUCUAUAUUAUCUCAACCAGUGGUAGGUCACAAAUGUGAUCAUAUGGUGGUACCCAACAUUUUUUGGAGAGUAUUAAAAAUAGCUUCUUAUGAUUAAAUAGUCUGGAUCUACCAUUCGAGUGGACAGUAUGGUGUGAUAAAAACCCAAAUAAUCAUGUUUGCUUAGGCAGAGAAAAUUCUGCCCCUGAAGAGUGGCAGUCUGUACCAAGAUACUGCAGGAUAGAGACUGACUCUCAGGGAAUGUUUAACCAAAAGUUUUCAGGUACAUGCAAAAAAGUUGGGAACCCUUCACACAAAAGGAAGAUGUAGGGGGCGCCUGGGUGGCUUAAUUGGUUAAAAGUCGUACUCUUGAUUUUGGCUGAGGCCAUGAUCUCAUGGUUCAUGGAUUUAAGCCUAGAGUCAGGUUCUGUGUGGAUAGCUGGGAGCCUGCUUGGGAUUCUCUCUCUCCGUCUCUCUCUGCCCCUACCCUACUCGUGCAGGCUCUCUCUCUCUCAAAAAUAAAUAGAUAUUUUUUUAACAACUUAAAAAAAAAAAAAAAAGAAGAUGUAGAAGUAAACUCCCAAAAUGACCACACAGAGAGGGCUUCUGUUCAGGAGCAAAUUCUACUGUUUCUUUGAUCCAGGUGAGGAAGGAGAAGGUCUCCAAGGUUCUCAAAAUCAGAGGGGGCAACCAACCUGUGGCCACUAAAUGCUGGACUUGUGUGGAUGCCUUGUGGGCACGGUUACCAAUGGAAGUUUCCCUAAAGAGACAGGGUUUGCAGAGAAGCAUUUGAUUCCCUUCUUCCUGCUGCUGACCUGGUACUUUAGGGAAUUAGGAAUUGUUCAUUCUCGUGUGGUCAGUUGCUAACCAGCAGGUUUAAGUUCUUAGAUCACCUCUUUUUAUAAUGGAUGACAAGAUGUGGUGGGUGGGGGUGCAGGAAGCAUGAGGGGUUUGGAUGCUGGUCCCCAUUACAGUUUGAAUUUUCUGUCUUGGCAAUCCUCCUAGGUAAAGUCUUUAAAAGACCACAAUGACUUACUUCUCUGGCAAAAUCACCAGGAAGCGUUGCCAAUGCUAAGAAACUCAUACUCGGAAACUCAGAGAUUGGAUAUGAGCAAACCUCCUACCUUUUUCUUUAAAGUCCCAUGCUUGAAAAAAAGUUAUGGUGUAAUAUUCCUUUAUAAAGAAGUUCAUUAAUAUUUACAUUCUGAGCCAGAGCGAAAAGUCAAUACACUUUGCUGCAGACAGGUCUUGGUGUUCCCUUGACAUUUAUUUCAUUCUCAAGGCACUUGGUGAUCUCCAUGGAAAAAGAAACCUCCCUGUUUUUGUGUUCUGUUUUGCUUUGUUUGAUUUUUGUUUUUCUAGUCUGGGAACUAACAUCUUUGGUUACUCCCAGAAAAAUCACAGUGCUGUAAUGCAGCACCAAGUUUAUUGGCUGGCAGAUAGCAGACCCUCACUAUGAGUUUAUUGAUUGACUAAAGAAAUGAUUUUUCAGGGCACCUGGGUGACUCAGUUGGUGAAGCAUCUGCUUAGGUCAUGACCUCGUGGUUGGAGAGUUUGAGCCCCGUUUUGGGCUCUCUGCUGUCAUCACACAGCCUGCUUUGGAUCCUCUCUCCCUCACUCUCUGCCCCUCCCCUGCUUGCCCUCUCUCUUUCUCUAUAAAAAAAUACAUGAACAUAAAAAAAAAAAAGGAAAGAAAUGAUUUUUCACAUACUAAGCAGUGUUAGCCCUCCUUAGUCACAUUCUCAUAUCUGAAGUAUUUUCCUUCAAGCACUUGCCUUCUUUUACUCAAAAAGCUGCUACAGGCCCAAUGAACAAGUGGUAUUGUUUUGCAGCUAAGAGCUUAAGGUUUGCAGUCAAACACACCCACAGGUUGAUUCUGGUUCUGCAGAUAACCAGAUGGGAAACCAGAUGAACAAACAACUCUUGAGCCUCAGUUUCUUCUUCACUGUUGCCCUUCGUCAACAACGCUAAAGGGCAACCAAUGGAACGGGAGAAGAUAUUUGCAAAUGACAUAAUUGAUAAAGGGCUAGUAUCCAAAAUACAUAAAGAACUUAUACAAUUCAACACCCAAAAGACAAAUAAUCCAAUUAAAAAAUGGACAGAAGACAUGCACAGAUGUUUCUCCAAAGACAUACAGAUGGCCAACAAAUACCUGAAAAGAUGAUCACCGUCUUGUCAUCAGGGAAAUGCAAAUCAAAACCACAAUGAGAUAUCACCUUACAUCUGUCAGAAUGUCAAAAAUCAACAGCACAAGAAACAGCAGGUGUUGGCAAGGAUGUGGAGAAAAAAGAACCUUCUUGCACUGUUGGUGGGAAUGCAAACUGGUGCAGUCACUAUGGAAAACAGUAUGGAGCUUCCUCAAAAAGUUACAAAUAGAACCUCUUUAUGAUCCAGCAAUCACACUACCAGGUAUUUACCCAGGUAUUCAAAAACACUAAUUCAAAAGGAUACAUGCACCUGGAUGUUUAUAGCAACAUUAUUUAUAAUAGCCAACAUAUGGAAGCAACCCAAGUGUCCAUUGAUUGAUGAACAUAAAAAAUUCAGCCAUAAAAAAAGAAUGAAAUCUUGCCAUUUGCAAUGACAUGGAUGGAACUAGAGUCAGUCAGGGAAAGACAAAUACCAUCUGAUUUCACUCAUAUGUGGAAUUUAAGAAACAAAACAAAUGAGCAAAGGUAGAGGGGUUGGGGGGGGUGGAGAGAGAGAGAGAAACCAAGGAACAGACUCUCAACUCUAGAGAACAAACCAAUGGUUGCAGGAGGGAAGGUGGGGGGGGGAGGGGUGAAAUAGGUGAUGGGGAUUAAGGGUGUACCUGUCAUGAUGAGCACUGGGUGAUGUAUGGAAGUGUUGAAUCACCAUAUCAUACACCUGAAACUAAUAUAACACUACGUUAAUUGAUUGGAAUUAAAAACUUUUAAAAAAGCGUAUGGAAAAAAAAAAAACCCAUGUGUUCAAUGGAACCUACCUUAUAGGGUUGUUAGAAGAAUUAAAUGAAAUAAAGCAGGUGUCCCCAAAUUUCAGUCAUUUGCAACUUGCUUGCACAUUUUUGCCUAUGCCACUAUUCCCUUAACGUUUUCUUUAGCUCAGUUUUUAAGACAGAUCAAUUUCAAAAGAUAAAUGGACACUUAUCACCUCCCUGGUGAUAGAGUGGUAGAAUUUAAAUGGGACAAUAAAUGUAAUGGAGAGCAACCAGCAUUAUUAAUUCAGCCUGGAUGUUUUUGCCUGCAAAAGUCUCUGUCCUGAGGUCUGUUCUGUUGGUCCAAAAGAACGAUUUUGGUCAGGUGUUAAAGGUAAAACCGCCCCGACCUGACACUUUCUUUUUUAUUUAAUCCAAAGAACUGAAAAAAAAUGAUGGAAAGGAACUUUUUCACUCUUGCACUCAAUGUAACUUAAUACUCUGCUUUUGUGCCUCAUAAUAUUGUCUCAGAUAUCGCCAAUGGCUGGUGCAUCACCUUUUAGGAAACCGAGAUACCAUUUCUGAAGGUUUUGUGUUUCUCAGUGAAAGGACAGAUGUACAUGGAAGAGACAGCUGUACAGGGUCCUGUGUAGGAACACUAUUUGCUUAGAAAGUGUAGUUUAGCAUAGAAGGGAAGGAGGGAAACACUUCUCUGGGACCCUGCUGGCUGUUUCUGAACUUCCACACAGGACAAGAGGUCAAUUCCUAAUUUAGCAGUGGGUUCUCAAACUCAGAAAUCACUCCUGGCCUCCAGGAAGACCGAGAACGCUCACACAUCUACAGAGCUCUCGGCUGCUGGCUGUGUUCCGAGGAUAACGGAAGGAAACAAGGAAGGAGAAGCACUUUUCAAAACUCAAAACCCAUACUAGUCUCCACCUCUGAAUGACCAGGGGCCAAAUGAGCCCCCCCACCCCCCCCACCCCACCCCCCCGCCACCCAUACCUCAGAUUGUGACUGUACAUGGAGACAGGGUCCUUAGGUAAUUAAGGUAAAAUGAGGUCUCAUAUGAGUUGUGUCUUAGAAGAAAAGAUUAGGACAUGGACACACACACAGGCAGAAGAGGGUCACGGCACACCUGAGAGAGGCCUCAGGAGAAACCAACCUUGCUCACACCUGAUCUCGAACUUUGAGCUUCCAGAACUGGGAGAUGAUGAAUUUAUGUUGUAUAGGCAUCCCCCCUCCCGCCCCCCAGUCUGGGGCACAGUGAGCAACAGUCACAUAAAGUUGUUAUAGAGUGCAUGCCUCCCAUCUGAGUAAGGGGACAGGGGCUAAAUAGUUCAUUGCCCAUGGACAGUGACACCCAAUGCCGUGCACAGGCUGGUGUGUUUGAGAGAGCCAGGAUUGUCUGACUUUAAUCGUCUGUCUUCUCAUUUACCAUCCCCUCAAUCUGGCCACCCAAAUUCUUCCCGUGACAAAACAAACAAACAAGCAAACAAAGACAAAUGGUUGGGAGAGGGGAGUCCAGAAGAGUCUUGGUUAUUUUGUCAGCUUAGAGGACAGAUUUUAGUGAAGUUUUAUGUAAUCUUGGUAAGAGAUUGAUACAUUGGAUUAUCUUAAAUGACAAAAGAGAAAUCUCUUUCUUAGCCUGCUCAAGUCCCAGAUAAGCUUAUUUCCCCUCCUUUGACCUUCUCCUCACUUGUACUUCCUUUUUUUUUUAAAUUUUUUUUAAUGUUUAUUAAUUUUUGAAAGAGAAGGAGAGAGAGAGAGAGAGAGUGAACAGGGGAGGAGCAGAGAGAUAGGGAGGCAGAAUCAGAAGCAGGCUCCAGGCUCCGAAGUGUCAGCACAGAGCCCAACGUGGGGCUUGAACUCACAACCUCGAGAUCAUGACCUGAGCCGAAGUCGGACGCUCAACAACCUCGAGAUCAUGACCUGAGCUGAGGUCGGACGCUCAACCGACUGAGCCACCCAGGCGCCCCUCCUCACUUGUACUUCUUAAGCACAAAAAUAGCAUUUCCUCUUUGUGGUAGCUCCGUCCUGUGCAGAAGUCCUAAAGUGAUGCCCACUUACAUUCUUUCCUCUUUCCUGCUUUUCCUCUGCCUCCUUACUGUCAUCACUGUGUCACCAGAAGGCUCUAACUUUGGGGCACCUGGGUGGCUCAGUUGGUUAAGCAUCUGACUUCAGCUUAGGUCAUGAUUUCACGGUUUGUGAGUUAGAGCCCUGAGUCCACCUCUGUGCUAACAGAGUGGGAUCUGCUUGGGAUUCUGUGUCUCUUUCUCUAUCUCUCAAAAAUAAAUAAACUUUUUUUUUUAAGGCUCUAACUUCAAGCAUUAACCACCAUCUUCCCCCUCGCUCCCAGGCCUUUCUGAGCAUCUCUGACGUGCACGACACUCUGCUAAAAUGCCAGUUAAUAUUUAAGUCCGUUAAGCUCAUUAUAUAUUCUUUCUGCUCAUGGCGUACCCAAAGAAUUCAGCACAGCCAGCAUCUCAAAGGCUUUCCUUCCUAGAGCGCAGGGUAAAUUCUCCCGGUGACUGUGUACCUUUGCGGCUAGCUGCCGGAAUUCAGACUGUCCCCAGUUAGUUUGUGAAGUGUUGGCCAUUGUACAUUCUGUUUCUUGAGAAAUGUUCUUCUAUCCCCAUGUAUCCAAAGUUCAAAUGGAACUUGUAUUUGGAUAUCGUCUAUAAUCAUAAACCUAGGCCAGACAGGCCAGUCUUUGAGGACCACAUCCAACACGUUCAUCCAGGAGUAAUGGCAGCAUGCUAGAAAUGAGUAACAUAUCUCCUCCUCAGCCACGAGGCAGGGGCAGGGGGAAAAAGAACAAGAUAAAAAAGCUGCCGUCAGACCUCUGGAUAAAUGGUGGGUCCCUCAAGUCCCAGGAGCCUCUAAUAAUUUCGUGUGAUGUGCCCGUGACAGGGAAGAUGAGGACUGCAUGUUAGAAACCCCGGGUAUGAAAAGCGGCUCCACAUCCUGGGUGAAAAGGCAACUGAUUACUCCCUGCUUUUUUUGCCUUUUUUUGUUUCAUGUGACCACCGUUUUUCUUCUUGGGAAUAAAUCCCUCCCUCUGAGAGGUUUUCCUGGCCUGAUUGCAGGGCCUAUCUCUUAGUUACACAAUGUGUUCUGGUUCAUACAUUUUUGUGAAAUCUCAGCCUGUGAAUAGAUCCUUUAUCCUGCCUGAAAGUUUCUUUGGAGCUGGAGUUUCAAAAAUGUGCUGAGUUCUGAACCCUGUAUUUCUCCUCACAGACCUUGGGUGGCCCUGUGGGAAAAGUCUUGUGUUUUCUUUUACCUCUUAAAGAGCUCCUCGUUCUGGGGCACCUGGUUGUCUCAGUGGGUUGAAUGUCCGACUUCAGCCCGGGUCAUGAUCUUGGUUCAUGAGUUCGAGCCCUACAUCGGGCUCUCUGCUGUCAGUGUGGAGCCUUCCUGGGAUUCUCUCUCUCUCUCUCUCUCCCCCUUCCCCGCUUGAACUCUCUUUCUCUCUCAAAACAAAUAAAUAAACUUUUAGAAAAAGUACUUUAAAAAGAACCGCAUAGCACCCUUGUUAACAUUUUUUGCAGCACCUCCAAAAUUCCCGAAGAGCAGAGUGGACUACAACCCCCCAGGCACCUGGGCGCCAGUCCCCUCUGAGAGCAGACUGGGGUUCUGUCCACCACAGAGUGUGUCCUCACACCAGGUCUUUGUCCUCCUCCCUUAUCUCCUGGCUCACUUUUCUAAGCAAUGUCUUUCCAGACUUUCUGUUGCAGAAAACAGAUGAGUUAACUAGGAGUGAAGAGUGGCAAGGAACCGUCUUUUGCACAUCACAUUAAGGGCAAGCGUGUUUUGCAGCCUCACGCCUGCCCGUCAUGUUUAUUCUGUUUACGACAGGCGUGAUACCAGAAGUUACUCGCUCAGCCAUUCGUGGACAGACAUGAAUCAAGGAAGGGGCACUGUUUUAGACUCAAGAUGCCUCUAUGAGUACGUUGGACAGGGCCCCUGAUCCCACCCGCUCACCUGCUGGGUGAGUGCAGGGCCCUUAACAGUUCUGCCUAACCUCAUGGAACCUCCUUCCAGAGGGUCCCGUAGCAAACAGGCUGUCAGGUGGUGCCCGACAAUCCCAUCUUCUGUUACUCAGGUCCUUGGCUUGAGUGCGGGUCGGACCUGUGACCUCUAGCGAUAGAACGUGACAAAGAUCAUGGGAUGUCCCCUCACGGGUUAUAGCAGGAUAUACAAGAUUUCAUCUUGCUUGCAUACUCACUCUAGAAAUUCUGAACUGACUUGGAAGAGGUAUGGGACUUUAGUGGGACGCCCACGUGGCAAGGGGCUGAGGGCAGGUGCCAGCCAACAGCCAGCAAGCAGCUGGGCCCUCGGGCCUACAGCUGCAAGGAACUGAAUUCUGCGACCACCUGAGUGAGCAGGGAGGCGGAGUCUUCCCCUGUCAGGCCUCCAGAUGAGAACGCAGGCUGCACGACGCUCUGACUCUAGUCUUGUGAGAUCCAGAUAAGCCAUUCCUAGGCUCCUGACUCCCCAAAACCAUGAGGUAAUACAUGGGUGUGUUUUAAGCUGCUAAUUUGUGGUAAUUUGUUAAGUAGCAGAGCGGACUAAUACAGAGGCCCUGUGGACAAGUGGAGUAAGCUGGCCUAGCACCACCCCACCGACCCUGAGAGCUGGCUAGGGUGGCUUCCCUUUGGGUCCUUGGAUUGCUGGUUGUAAGCUCUCCACAACACGUCCCUGAGCUAAUGCAUUUACAACCUCCAUGGCUCCUGGACCUCCUUAAAAUCAGAAAAAUGAUGGAGCAGAGUUGUCUGCAGCAAGACCAUGGAUAAAGGGAAAUCCCUGGAAAACUGUUUGAGCACUAUGUCACUGCAGGGAUUGAAGACAUGUACUCUCCCAUCCCCUCACUCUCAAGUACUUUCUAGAGUCCAUAUUCCCACUGUUGGAGGGUUUGUCUCAAGGAUGUGAUAACUUUCCCUUCUUUCAUUCACGAGUUCAACACACAGAUUUUUAAAAAUAUUUUUAAAAUUUUUUAUUUAUUUUUUUGAGGGAGAGAGAGACAGAGUGCGAGUGGGGGAGGGACAGAGAGAGACAGAGGGAAACACAGAAUCCAGCAGAGAGCCUGACUCGGGGCUCAAACCCACAAAGCACGAGGUAAUGACCUGAGCUGAAGUCCCACACUUAACCAACUGAGCUACCCAGCUGCCCCAUGAGUUCAACACACAGAUUUAAUUUACUCAUCUGUAAAAUGAGUGUGAUAAUAGUGCCAGUCUCAUAUAGUUGUCAUGAGAGGAAAUGAAUUAGUUUCUAUAAAUCGCAUAAAUAAUUGCUUAGCACCCCUGUAAACACUAUAUAACUGUACGUUAUUAUGAUGAUGCUAUUAUCAUUGAUGUAGUUUUCAGCAUUGUUUAUUAGUAUAGCCAGGCAGUAACCUAGACACGAGGAAUACAGAUAUAAAUAAGACAUGACCUUGCCCUUUAGCUGGCUCCUUAUCUAUCGAGUUAGUAAGCUAAGUUCUGAACAGAGAGGCAAACGGGACAGGAAGUGAUAUGAAGCAGGGGCUUGAAAUUAGCAAUACUAAUUCCAGAAGCACAUAAUGCAUCCGGGAAAAACACAUUCUAGAGCAGGUGGAGCUUGGAGUUGGGAGUUAUAAAAAAUGCAUCCAACAGCAUCCUAUGUCCUCUUGGUCUCUUAGAGGUCAGUCAGUGCUGAAAGAGAAGAGAUGGAUGAAGAAAAGCCCAUCUAUAUUAUUUUUCACAGGGUCAGUGCUGCUAAUGCAAAAAAAGUAAUUUUUUUAAACUACAAAUACUCACCACAGCUAUGGGAUUAUUGCUCCUGGCAAAUUAUAUACAUGGUAAACACAUGGUACAAUAAGUAGUUAUUUAUGGCUUCAAUAAAAGUCUGAAGUAUCAGGAAAGUUAGAUAUCCCUGCUCGUCUUUCAGGAAAACUAGUGGGGAAUCUAAGGGUCAACAGUCUUUGGUGGCGGGCAGGAGCAGGGUGCUGAGACUAGUCUGUUCCCUCUUCUCCGGGAACAUAGUUCCUUUUCCUGAAUAAAACAUGAUGAAGCAAAGGCGGAGUGAGCUUCCCUGUCCCGUAUGGGACAGUUGUAAAAAAAUGAACCUCAGGGACAAGACUUGGCCUCCAAACAAACAAGAUAUCCAGAAAUAAAUCCAUGUUUCCUUGGGGGUUUCUUGAUCGAGGUAGCAUCCAGGAUAAGAAUAAAAAUGAGACUGUAUCCUUAUGAGAUCAGUGGCUGGUGAGCGUGUCUCAAUCUGUGGUUGAACUUUGUAUUCCUUCCUUUUACCUCUGUUCCUAGCAUGGUGUCUGCGAACAGCAAAAUAGUCUAUGUUUACGAAUAAGGAGUCACUGAAUUAAUGGAACUAGACACGAAUGCUGUCUUUCAAAAAUAAACAAAACAUUUAAAAAAAAAAAAAAGAGGAGGGUGCCUGGGUGGCUCAGUCGGUUAAGCGUCCAGCUUCAGCUCAAGUCAUGAUCUUGUGGUUCACAGGUUCGAGCCUCAUAUCGGGCUCUGUGCUGACAGCUCAGAGCCUGGAGCCUGCUUUGUGGAUUCUGUCUCUCUCUCUCUGCCCCUCCCCCACGUGUUCUCUCUCUCUCUCUCUCUCUCUCUCUCGCUCUCUCAAAAAUAAAUAAAACAUUUAAAAAAAUUUUUAAAAAGGAACUAGACAGGAAUGGUUAAAUAUUCAAAAGAGGGGCAAAACAACUCAUUACCCAAUAGGUUCUCAUUCCCAUUUGUGGGCUCCCACCUUGAGGGAGCAUUUUGACCAAUUUGGAUACAAUUUUGGUAAGGAUAGAAUUGCAAUCUCAAAGUGAGGGACUUUGUACCAGUAUUGGGUCUAUAGCAAUCAUCAGUUUCUUGAGACCUUUCCCUAACAACUCUGUACAACUAGCACUUUGUCUUUCUGGCAUAGAAAGGAUGGAGAAGAAUUGUCUGGUGCUUUUCUCCUAAACUGUGACUCUGCCAGGAUUUAUAAAUGUUUGCAUACUGAGUAAAACCAGAUAUUUUGAUUUCCUCUCCUGGUCUAUGCCUGGAUUUUUACCACUGGGGUUUUUACAGCUUGAGAAAUUGUUAUGAAAGUCCCAACUUGACUGGGCUAAGGCAUGCCCAGAUGAUGAAACAUUAUAUCUGGGUGUGUCUGUGAGGGUGUUUCGGGAAGAGAGUCACAUUUGCGUUGGAAGACUGUGUAAAGAGAGCCUUCAACGGUGUGGGCAGGCCUCAUCCAAUCCACUGAGGGACUGGAUAGAACAAAAUGGUGGGCGAGGGGCAAACUUGCUCAUUUUGCUUGAGCUGGGACAUUCAUUCAUCUUCUGCUGCCCUCAGAUAUCGGCACUCCUGGUUCUCCCAGAGCGCAGGCCUUCAGACUCUGUCUGGGGUUUGUGUCAUCAGCCCCCAUGAAUCUCAGGCCUUUGAUUUGGACUGAAUGACACCACUGGUAUUCCUGGUUCUCCGGUUUGCAGAUUGCAUAUCGUGUAUCUCGUACACCAUAAUUGCAUGAGCUCAUUCCUAUAAUGAAUUCUCUCUCUUUACCUCUAUCUAUCUGUCUCCUAUAGGUUCUGUUUUUCUGGAGAACCCUGACUUUUACAGACUUCUUCAUAUAUCAGCUAGUGAAAAAAUAGCUUUGCUAAAUGAAUAUUUGAAUUUGAAUUAGCUUCGCUGUUUAUUUCUUGCAGUGGAUGACAUGUGAAAAUGGGAUGUCACAAGGAGGUAGUGUCUGUCACGAUUAAAAAGAAGGGCUUGUGCUAGAAUCUAAGCUCUACUACUAUCUUGAAUAAGGUAAACUUUCUAAGCCUCCUCUUCUUGUAAAAUGAGAAUACAAUUACUUAAUCGAGAUCAUAUAAUUCAAUGAGAUGGUUUCUGUGAAAAUACUCGGCCUACAAGUAAAGCGGUCAGUAAUCAUUAACUAUUCCUACUGUGUUUUGAUUGGGACUCAGGAAAAGGAGAGAGGAGGAAGGAUUAAGAACUCAGGUGCUGUCUGACACUGUAUGGAAGGGGGAGGGGAGAGGGUGCAGGAGUGAGUGGUUAAAAAUGGUGUUGAUGGAGAGCUACAUAUUUCUCUAAACUCCUCAUCUCACAAAAGGCCAAUUCUAGGUGUUUACACUUUGUGCUAAUGCAUGCUGCAAGAACAUCAUACUUGUUCCCCACCAAAUUCCUGGGAUUCAAAUGCCCCCCCCCCUUUUUUUAAAGUAAGUUCCACAACCAACAUGGGGCUUGAACUCAUGACGCUGAGGUCAAGAGUUGGAUGCUCUAUCGACUGGGCCAGCCAGGCACCCCCAGAUGCAUUUAAUAUAUGUUUUCCAAUAAAGUGUGGUAGGCAGAAUAAUGGUCCACCAAAACUGCACAUGUCCUAAUUUCUAGAAUUUGUAAGUAUGUUACCUAACAUGGGAGAAAGGAUUUUGCAGAUGUGAUGAAGAUUAUAAGCCUUGAUAUGGGGAAAUUAUCCUGGUUUAUCUGAGUAAUACCCAUCUACCCAUAUAAGUUCUUAAAAGCGGAAGAAGAAGGCAGAAGAGUCAGUCAGAAGGAUGUGGUGGAAUAAGGAGGAGAGAUUCAGUGCCUGAGAGGCACUCGACCCCCUAUUGCUGGCUUGAAGCUGGAGGAAGGAAGCCAUGAGCCAAGGAAUCCAGGCUGCGUCUAGAACCUUGGUGAGGCCUCAACUGACAGCCAGCCAGCCAGCCAGCCAGCCAGGAAACGGGGGCAUGGUCCCACAACCAGAAAGAACUGAAUUCUGCCAACAACCCACAGGAUCCAGGGAACGAAUUGUCCCCUGGAGGCUCCAGAAAGAAAUGUGGUCCUAUUGACACCUUGAUGUCAGCCCAGUGAGGCCCAUGCUGGGCUUCUGACAUGGAGAAAUGUAAGAUAAUGCAUUUUGUUGUUUGAGCCACUAAAUUAGUGGUAAUUUGUUUUGGGGGCAAUAUAACACUAACGCACAAAGGUAAAGACAAAAAGUCCAUUUAAUUCCAUUUAUUCAUUCGUUCGCUCACUUAUUCAUUUUUCAAGCAAUCACUGAGCAGCUUUAGCCAACGAGGCCCUGAGCCAGUUGCUGGUCAUAAAAGCAUGAGUGAUAGCCAGUCCCGACUCUCAACAUAUUAUAGGAAGCCAGUCGAAUGAGCAGAAAAAGGUUUCAGACUUUGCAAACAACUUGUUCUGCCUUAAUUCUCUGAACUGCUCAACCUUUCCUCUUGCCCACAGUUUCAAAACAGUUAGUCACAGUGGGGGUGUGUCGUGUUUUGCAAACUCAUUGGCAUGAAUGUAGUAUGGGCCAGCUCAAGAAAAACGAAUGGAUUUUCCCCCCUUGGCCUGUGUCCAGUGAGAACAUGGCUUUGGUGCCCUUGGUUGUAGAGCUGCGGCCACUUAGUAAACACCCACAUCACACUGCUGCUUCCAGGUGACGCAGCGGCAUCUUCUUGCCUAGGCCAGGGCUUCCCAAAGCUUGGUGGGUCUAAAAAUCACCUGGAAGCCUUAUUAAAAUACAGACGUCUGGGCCCCCAGCCCAGAGAGUCCAAUUCAGUAGAUCUAGGUUUGGGUCUGAGAAUCUGAAUUUCUAAGUUUGCCAGAUGGUGCUUCCUGUCCACAGGGCACACUCUGAGAGUCUUUGGUGGGGCCUGGGGCCCUUGCCAUCAUACACAGUGUCCUCCUGGAGAAGGUAAAAACAAAGUGUUGAAAUCUCUCAUUGUGCAACUCAGCAUAAGAACAGACCAUGUGUCCUACUCGAGGGGCAGGCAAAGCGAUUGCACAAUGUGCUCUGGGGACGCUGAGGGCAUCACAUGAUAUUGCCGCUUCUCCCCACCUGCCUCCUCCAAUAUCCUCUCCCCAAAUUCUGUUGUCCUUGAUUUCCCUCGCUGCCAUCCUUCCAUGAACUCUUUCAAGCUAAAGAGAUGUACUGACACACAGGUGCUAAUGACUUACUACUGGGUCCUCUAACGUUGUCCCUCUACAGAUCUUUCAUGCGAGCUGUGACGUGGCCAUAAACCUCAACACGGUGAUUCCAGGCAAUGAUCUUGCUUGAACUCCCAAACUGAGUACUUGCACCUGUCACAUCACUUUGGCCGUGUAGAUCCUGGUUCCCCUUUUUAAGAUUCAGAAAGAUAAGAUGGGGUUUGAGUCCAUUGUUUGGAAAAAUCCAACUGGAAUUGCAAAGCAUCCUCUCCAUGGUUUGAAAGAACAGAAGCAUCAUAAAUCAAAAAUUUGCCCAAUAGUGCUUGCUGGAUUAAAAGGAAAAAUACCAGCCUUGUUGAAACUGGUUUUCCCUUAGGUCCCCUUUCUAAACCAGAGAUCUUUCCAGAGCUUUAGGAAGAUGGUGUCUCUCCAGACGACUGUGGUAAAAUUCUUUCCUUUGUUCCAGGUCUCUGCAAAAUGAAAAAGAUUUGUUUGAUGUGCAUCUCUUUUCUUUUAGUGAGACUAAAAGACCAUUAUUGCUUUUAUUUGUUAAAUGUUUAGUUUCGUUUUGCUCUAAGGCAGGGCUUCUUAGCUUAUUUUGUGCCAUGAACCUCUCUGGACAUCUGGUGAUGCCUACACACCCCUUUUAAGAAUACUGUUGCAACAAACAAAUGAAAAGGAGAAAUAGACCCAUGCAUUCAGAGAAUAAACUGAUGGUUUCCAGAGGGAAGGAGAGAUGGGGGGACGGGGGGGUCAGGGAAUGGGCAAAAUAAGUGAAGGGGAGCAUGAGAUACAGGCUUCCAGUUAUGGAAUGAAUAAGUCAUGGGAAUUAAAGGCGCAGCACAGGGAAUAUGGUCAAUGGUAUUGUAAUAACGUUGAAUGGUGACAGGUGGUGGCUACACUUGUGGUGAGCACAGCGUAACAUCCAGUUGCAAUGUUGUACUCCUGAAACUCAUGUCACAUUGUGUGUCAGCUGUAGUCAAACAAACAAGAAUAAUGUUUUAAAUGCAUUAAAAACACCACCCAGAAAGCUACAAGUAAAAACAAUCACUAAUAAAUAGAUACUCAAAUAUUAAGACAAAUUUGUAAUAUGAUAAUACAUGCUUCUUUAUUAAUUUAUUAAUUACAGUCUAGCAGGCCCAUGACCUACUCUAAUUUUGAAGUAGCGAUGGACAGUAAUAGUAUUUUGAGAUACUGCAACAAGUGUAAUGGGUAUGAAUAGAUCUGUGAUUUCCACUGGAGAUAGACUGUCUUGUCUAGUACUGUGGUUUGCUGUCUACACUCUUAACUGAAGGAGAUUCUAAUUUCAGAUAGGUGUUAGUGAAAAUAAAGGGACAGUUAUUCCCGUCCAGGUUUAUGGACUCUGUGAAUUCUGUCUGUAUAUAUCCUUGGGAGUCAUUGGACCACAGAAUGAGAAAAUCUCCCUAAAGCAUCCCGACUUCCUUCCCUUCCCUUCUCUUCCCUUCCCUUCCCUUCCCUUCCCUUCCCUCCCUCCCUCUCUCUCUCUCUCUCCCUUUCUUUCUUUCUCUCUCUCUCUCUCUUUCUCUCUUUCUUAUUUUUUUUAGUAAUCUCUAUACCCAGUGUGGACCUCGAACUCACGACCCUGAGAUCAAGGUCACAUGCUCUUCCAGCAGAGCCAGCCAGAUGUAAAACACCCCAACUUUAAUGUCUCUUCUCCCUCUGAGCUUCUUUUCAUCAACUCUAAGUUGUAAUGAUUUCAAGAAAAGGAUUUCUGUAACAAAUGAAGGCCAUUGUCUUUUUGUGGGGAACAUUUCAAAGCUUCCAACAGAAUUCCAGGAAGUAUAAUGAUCAAAGUCACUGACCCUCAUGGAGUUUUAAUUAUUUCAGCAGCAAACUGAUCCGAUGUCUUUGAAAAUUUUCUAAAAAACAUUGAAAUACAUAUACAAAAUAAGAAAAAAAAAGAAAGAAAUUUAUUCUCCUCAGCCUCCACUUCUACUCUCUUGCCCAGAAGGGAAUCUCUGUUGACAAUGAAUUUAUGGGAUACAUACUUCAUAAUUCUCUGAUCUUCAUACGCCAAAGGGAACAUGGAUGUAUUAUUGUACUUAGCAGUAACUGGCAAAAAGCAAAGUACUCAAUUUAUUUCAGCAAGUUUAAUAUCUGAUGGUUCAGGCUCCCAAAGAGAGAUUAGCUAUAUUUUCUCUCAUAUACCAAAAAUCCCAGGGAGGUUUUCUCAAAGCUACCUUGAGUCAGAUGCCAACUCUUGGUCCAGUCACCCGGCUGGGUGUUGGAUUAAGUUAAUUCAUGAGUAUUUCUGCUGCAGUCGUGUAAAUAGGUGGGUUGGGCAAUUUUGUCCUUCUAGAAUUACCGAGCAGAUGCCUCCACCAACCAAUCUUUAGAAGACUCGUUAGUGCUUUGUCCUUGGCCUCAACAGAAUGGAAGCCUUUAUGGAAAAUGAGAGAACUUUCUUUUUGUUAUGAACAAGGAAUCAUUCUUUUUAAAAAUAAUCUUUUUCUGAAUAUAAAGUAAUGCACAAGAAACUGAGAAUUGGGGAAGUUUUUUUUUUUUUUUUAAGUGCAGUAAGAAGUAAAAAAAAAAAAAAGUAUCUCCCAUUUGUUUAAGAUAAGGUCUGCCAACUACGUGGGCUAUAUUUUCUUCUUGCCUUUGUCCUUUGACUGUUUGGAUUUGAAUGUUUAAGUCAGUGGUUAUUACCCUUGAUUUCAUAUUAGAAUCUCCUAGGGAGGGGCGCCUGGGUGGCUUAGUCAUUAAGCCUCUGACUCUUGGUUGCAGCUUCUCAGGUCAUGAUCGCACAGUCCUGAGAUCGCGCCCCACCUCAAGCUCUGCAUUGAGUGACAAAGCAAAGCCUGCUUGGGAUUCUCUGUGUCCCUCUCUCUCUGCCCCUCCCCUUUCCACGCUCUUCCUCUCUCUCUUUCUCUCUCAAAAAUGAAUAAAUAAACAUAAAAAAGAAUCACCUGGAGAACGUUUAACACUACUCAUGCCUGGGUCCCAUCCCAGAGAUUCUGACAUGAUUGAUUCGGGGUGUGCCCUGUUCAUUGGGGUGUUGUUGUUGUUGUUGUUUUUAAACCCCUCAGGUGAUUCUUGGCCUUGUUUUUUUUUAAGUAGGCUCCACACUUCAUAUGGGGCUUGAACUCAUGACCCCAAGAUCAUCAGUCACAUGCUCGACCAACUGAGCCAGCCAGGCGCCCCCUCCUCAGGUGACUCUUACAGCCAAGAUUGAGAACCACUCACUUACGUUGUUCUACUAUUCUUGUUAGUUAUACAAGUAAUGCAUAAAUACGUUCUUGUGAGUUUUUUUUUUCAAAUGUGGUUCUCAGUGUUUAAAACAAUUUUCAAAAUACACGGAACAGGGGUUCUCAAAACUCUGGCAUGCAACACGAUUACCGGGGAGCAUAUUCAAUGUGCAGACUUCCAUGCUUGAUCUGAUUCAUUAAGUAUGAGGUGGGAUUCGGAAGGUGUGGUUUUUUACGAGCUCCCCCUUUUCCCUUAAAGAAGACACUUUUUUAAGUAUUUAUUUUUGAAAGAGAGAGAGAGACAGACUGUGAGCAGGGGAGGGGCAGAGAGAGAGAGAGGGAGACACAGAAUCCAAAGCAGGCUGGCAGCACAGAGCCUGACACUGGGAUCGAACUCACGAACAGUGAGAUCAUGACCUGAGCCAAAGCUGGAGGCUAACUGACAGAGCCACCCAGGCCCCCCUCUCCCCUUUCCCUUUUGAACGAAAGUCUUUAAUUUGAAGUAAGUUUGUAUUUACAUAAGAGUUGCAGAGAAUUCCCCUCUAUCCUUCAUCUGGCUUCAAACAUCUUACAUAACCAUGAUGCACUCAAUCACGACUAAGAAAUAAACCUUACUGCAAUACUAUUAAUUAAACUAUAGACUGUAGGGGCGCCUGGGUGGCGCAGUCGGUUAAGCGUCCGACUUCAGCCAGGUCACGAUCUCGCGGUCCGUGAGUUCGAGCCCCGCGUCGGGCUCUGGGCUGAUGGCUCGGAGCCUGGAGCCUGUUUCCGAUUCUGUGUCUCCCUCUCUCUCUGCCCCUCCCCCAUUCAUGCUCUGUCUCUCUCUGUCCCAAAAAUAAAUAAAAAACAUUGAAAAAAAAUUUAAAAAAAUAAACUACAGACUGUACUAAAGUCUUUUCUGUUUCAGGAUUCAAUCUAGAAUACCAUGUUACCUUCAGUUACCACUGCUCCUAUCUCUCCCUCAAUCUGGAACAGUAUUUUGGUCUUUCCUUACCCUUCGUGUGACCUUGACUCUUUUGAAGAGUAUUAAUUAGUUAUCUCCCAACUGUUUUUGAUGUAGAAUUGAAAAAGAAAUUCUCUUUUACCCUUAACCUUAAUUUUAGCACCUUCCUUUGAGAUAACCACUGAUAACUCUUCUGUAUUCUUCCAGAUUUUUUCCUACUUAAAAAAAAUACACAUACCAACAUAUCCAUUAUAUACUAACAUAAAUAUUUUUGGCAACUUGCUUUUAUUCAUGCUUUUAUUCAUGUAUUUGAUUUAGUGAUUUUUUUCUUAUGAUAGGAUGUAGAAUGUUUAAUGUAGCAUUUGUAUACCUUGGAGAGGAUAAAGUAUGUUCUAAAUAGAGAAACUUCUGUGGUUGAUGUUCAAGGCAUCAAAACCUAGGGAAUGGUAAAGCAGAGAAGCCAUUUCUCUGAUUUUGUUUCAAAGUGUUCAUACAGAUUGGGGCACCUGCGUGGCUCAGUCGGUUGAAGCCUCUGACUCUUGGUUUCGGCUCCUGUCAUGAUCUCACAAUUUGUGAGUUCCAGCCCCACAUUGGGCUCUGCACCAACAGAUUCUCUCUGUCUCCCUCUCUCUGCCUGUCCCCCACUGGUGCUGUUUCUAUCUCUCUCAAAAUGAAUAAAUAAACUUAAAAAAAUGCUUAUACAGAUCUGAAAAUGACUCGAUGGGAGGCACAUUAGCAAAUGAACAUGCUAAUUGUCUUCUAAACUUUUCUUCACUGCUUGAACAUUUGUAUUUUUUUUAUGUCUAUUUAUUUUUGAGAGAGAGAAGGAGGGAGGGGAAGAGAGAGGGAGACAGAGGAUUGGAAAGCGGGCUCUGCGCUGACAGCAGAGAGCCCCACGUGGGGCUCAAACUCACAAACCGUGAGAAAACGAGCUGAGCCAAAGUCGGAGUCUCAACCAACAGAGCCCAGCCAGGUGCCCCAUUGAACAUAAGUGUGUUAAAUGCAAAUAACAACAGAAAGAAAGCAACAGGCUAGAAAUGAAGUCUUGUUCUACUGGGGUACUGAGAGGAGCUCUGAGAGGUAGAAAUCCUUUGAAACUGGUAAGUCAUUCAAACUCCCAUUGCUCCCUUUCUUUUGUGUAUUUCGUGGAAUUAACUAACUGCACAGCACUGUUGUGAGAAAAGGUUUCUAGAUAUUUUUUUUAUAUGAAGGCUUUGAAUACACAUGAAUAUGAAUUUGAAAAAGCUUCUUCCACUGAGAACAGAGGAAAUAGCAUUUUAAUGGGGGUUGGUGGUUGCAGCAAAAAUAAAUGUGGUCUCCUGAAGAAGACAAACUUGUAUUGUGGUCAUGUACAGUUAUGAUUUUAAAUUUUUUAAUGUGUAAUUUUUGAGAAAGAGAGAGAGAGACAGAGUGUGAAUGGGGGAGGGGCCAAGAGAGAGGGAAACACAGAAUCCAAAGCAGGCUCCAGGCUCUGAGCUGUCAGCAGAGAGCCCAACGUGGAGCUCAAACUCACGGAUGGUGAGACCAUGACCUGAGCUGAAGUCAGCUGCGUAACCAACUGAGCCACCCAGGCGCUCCAUAUGCUUAUGCUUUUAAGCAUUUUUUUUUUUUCAACGUUUUUAUUUUUGGGACAGAGAGAGACAGAGCAUGAACCGGGGAGGGGCAGAGAGAGAGGGAGACACAGAAUCAGAAACAGGCUCCAGGCUCUGAGCCAUCAGCCCAGAGCCUGACGCGGGGCUCGAACUCCCGGACCGCGAGAUCGUGACCUGGCAGAAGUCGGACGCUUAACCGACUGCGCCACCCAGGCGCCCCGCUUAUGCUUUUAAAACAAAUGCAUUUUUUCUAUACUGUCUUGCUGACUUUGGAAUCCUUGUUUCUCUGGAGCAUUCAAUAUCGGAAGAGGGGUCUGAUAUGGAAAAUAAGGUUCACUCCUUGGCAGGUGAUACAUCAAACAGCCUCAUCUCUCACUGGAUAAGAUGUCUGGUCGGCAAUUAAGCUGAACAUUUGGGGCAAAGAGAGCUCCACUGUGCUAACUCAAGGCGUUUUGAGAUCUCAUAUUCUGACCUUGAAACCAAUAUAUACAUAUAAUUUAUUUAAAGAACAAAAAGCUUUAUUUAUUUUUUUUUUUUUGAAAAAGGCCUUGGUGUAGGCUUAUCACUUUGGGUCCUUAUUGUACAACAUGGUGGUCCUAUGGAAUCAAGUUAAUAGAUUUGAUUUUUAAAUGGCUUUAGUCAGCUUUCCGUAGAGAAAACCUCUUUUCUCCAGGCAUGGGCAGUACUUCUAAUUUUAGCUAACUUCUAUACAAAUCCAUUCUUGGAUCAGUCAGGGUUUUCCAGAGAAAUAAAACCAAUAGAAUGGAUGGUUGGAUGGAUGGAUGGAUGGAUGGAUGGAUGGAUGGAUGGAAAGAAGAUAGAUAUGUAUACAAAGAAAUUCAUUUUAAGAAAUUGGCUCGCAUGAUUAGGGGGACUGGCAAGUCUAGAAUUUGUAGGGCAGCCAGACCUGCUUGUAACUCAGACAGGGGCUGAUACUGCAGUCUUGAGGCAGAAUUUCUUCUUCCUGGGAAACCUCAGAUUUUGCUCUUAAGAUCUUCAACUGAUUAAAUGAGGCCUAUCAUACUAUCAAGCAUAAUUUCCUUUACUCAAAGUCAAGUGAUUGUAGCUAGUAAUCACAUGUUCAAAAUAUCUUCACAGCAGCACGUAGAUUACUGUUUGAAUAAAUGGGUACUAUAGCUUAGCCAAUUUUACACAUAAAAUUAACAAUCAUAGUUUCCUUGUUUAAACGAGCAGAACAGGGGCACCUAGGCGGCUCAGUCAGUUAAGCGUCCAACUUCUGCUCAGGUCAUGAUCUCACGGUUCAUGGGUUCAAGCCCCAUAUCAGACUCUGUGCUGACAGCUCAGAGCCUGGAGCCUGCUUCAGAUUCUGUGUAUCCCUCUCUCUCUGCCACCUCCCCGCUUGUGCUCUGUGUGUGUCUUUCUCUCAAAAAAUAAAAUUAAAAAUUUUUAAAAAGGAAAAGAAAAAUAUCAUGUGCAAAGAAGCACUUAAUAAAUUUCACUGAUUGAGUUCCUAUUCAUAUUAGCUCAAAGAGUGAUAGUGGAAAACAUCUCACCAAUCAUUAGUGAUAGGAUUUGUAGGAAAUGGUUCCUAAGGCCAUUAAUGUGUUAUUAAGAAGAAAAAAACUAAAUUUGAAUGUGCUUAUUAUAAAUAAAAUAUCAAUCAUAAUGAAAUUGGUUGCUUUAGCCCUAGGUGAUUAAAUCUUGUGUGGUAAUCUUAGUUCAAGAGCCUACUUCUAUGAGGUUGAGUUCUUCUGGUUGAUGGUUAUGGAAGUUGUAGGUCAGUCUUUGUGAAGUCUGACAGGUGUAUCUUUGUAACAAUGAAGCCAGCUUUUUUGUGCAAGUCUGGAUCCAUGACUCUUUUCCUGUGGACUCAAAUAGCCAAGAGUUCUUUCCCAAAGAUCUCUUGAAGUUUUGCCUAGAAUCUCUGAUCCAUGGUUUGUAGCAGGAGAUUUUAGGCAACGAGAAUGGAAAAGCAGGAACUAUUUAUUGAUGACACAACUGAAUGGCUCUGGGCAAUAGCUAGUAUUAUCAACUAUUAAUUAACAUUAUAGAAUAUAUUAAUAUUCUCCAGAAUCAUUAGAAUGAAAAAAGUGGAAUUUCUUUUAAUAUAUGACUAUAGGUCUCCUGAAAAUACAAAUAUAUUUACAUUCAGGGUCCCUGGGUGGCUCAGUCUGUUAAGCAUCCGGCUCCUGGUUUCAGCUCAGGUCAUGAUCUCACAGUUGGUGGGAUCGAGCCCCACAUCCAGCUCUGCACUGACAGCAAGGAGCCUGCUUGAAAUUCUCUCUCUCUCUGCCCCUCUCCCACUUGCACACACGCUCUCUCACUCUCUCUCAAAAUAAAUCAGUAAACAUUUUUUUAAAAGAAUAUAUUUACAUCCAUAAUAUUUUACUUGCAUAUAAUUAAUCUAUAGAGGUAAUGUGUUUUUUAUUUGAGAGCAUUUCUUUGUCUCAUAAUGUGAAAUUGGCAACAGGAUGGCUCUCACUGUCAUGUAGAGCUAAUUACCAAUAUAUCUGUGCACCCUCCACAUAUUCACAUAUAACACAUAUUCUUAAUCAUUUAUAGUAGUAUGCAUUUUAUAAAUUCCUGGAACAAAUAUUUGGCAUGUCCUAGAAGCCUCCUGAGAAACCCCCAAAAUAGACAAAAUAGCAUCUUUAUUCAGGACCAGACCAAGACCUGUUUUUUUUUUAAUAAAGCACUUUGUUCCUCAAAUAAAUGACAUAUAUCUAUUCCAAAGUCAGAAUACAGGACCUCAGAAUGCUGUGAGUUAGCACAGUGUAGUUCUCUUUGCCCCGAAAGACAAAAUAACACCCUUAGACAAAAUAAUGCCUUAACAUUUUCAUUAUGCAAUAGUUGGAGCCUAGAUUUGAGAAAUUCAAUAUCCAGAAUAAUUAUCAAGAAACAUUUUAGGGAACGCCUAUGUGUCUCAGUCGGUCAAGCAUCUGACUCUUCAUUUCCACUUAGGUCAUGAUCUCACAGUGUGUGAGUUCGAGCCCCAUAUCAGGCUCUGCACUGUCAGCACGGAUUCUCUCUCUGCCCCUCUUUCACGCACAUGCUCUCUCUCACAAUAAACUUAAAAAAAAAAAAAAAGAAACAUUGUAUAGCAUUAGUAUAUACAUUAUAGGUAUUUAAGACAAAAAAAUUACUGGAAUUUUAGCCACACAAAUAAUCAGAAAGAACGAGUAAAUCAAGCAGUAAGUAGCAAGUGAUACAUUUUAACCUUUUUUUUCAGAAAUAAGAGAUUUUAGUCAAAAAGUGAACCAAGAAGUCAGCACGAAACGACGAAGAUUUAUGAGCCUCUCCGGAAGUGCUCUAUGAGAUAAGAAGGUCUGCUCUCCAUAAAAGCCACCAAAUAAGACAUAGCAUUUUUUUGCUUUUUUUUUUUUUUUUUUUUUUUUUUUUUUUAGAGAACAGACUGAAUAUUCAAGGACCAUUUCCCCAUCACUUAAUUCUAUUUUCGUCUUGAUUAUUCACAAGAUUCCCGGUUUUCCCAUUUCUAAUAUAACUCUCCAAGUGGGUUUAAACAUACACAAAUCUUGGGGCGCCUGGGUGGUGCAGUCGGUUA